rnacentral:lncRNA from 1 species
UUAACCCUAAAGUUUACUUCGACAUGACCGUCGGCGACAAAGCCGCCGGCCGCAUCGUGAUGGAGCUUUACGCCGACACAGUCCCCGAGACGGCCGAGAACUUCCGUGCCCUCUGCACCGGCGAGAAAGGAAUCGGCAAAUCCGGGAAGCCGCUCCACUACAAGGGCUCAGCUUUCCACCGCGUGAUCCCCAAGUUCAUGUGCCAGGGAGGAGAUUUCACCGCCGGGAACGGAACCGGAGGAGAGUCGAUCUACGGCAUGAAGUUCAAAGACGAGAACUUUGUCAAGAAGCACACCGGUCCGGGUAUUCUCUCCAUGGCUAACGCUGGUUCGAACACGAACGGAUCUCAGUUUUUCAUUUGCACUGAGAAGACAUCGUGGCUCGAUGGGAAGCAUGUUGUGUUCGGUCAAGUUGUCGAAGGGAUGGAUGUCGUUAGAGACAUUGAGAAGGUUGGAUCUGACAGCGGAAGGACUUCUAAGAAGGUUGUGAUCGCUGACUGUGGUCAGCUUUAGAUCUGAUGAGGGAGAAAAGAGAGAGGUUGUUGAUCCAAUGGUAGCUUUGUGUUCUUUUCUGUUGUGUUUUUUUUUUGUUCUGGUUUUCUCUGUGUUUCUAUGGCUACCAUUGAAUAAUAAUGAUAAUGAUUAAUCUUAGUUAUUAUUGCUCUAAUUAAAUCUGUUUUAACAUUAUUAUCAAACACGUUAUUCGGAGAAUAGUAAAGCUCUAUAUAAAAUAAAAUAACAAAUGUGUGGAAAAGUUGUGAUUGGAGUGAAACUUUUACGUUAGUAGAUAAUGACAUGUUGUAUUGUUGCUCUGUCCCUAAUGUAGCUGCAUAAAAGUUUAUUAUCAAACAUGUUCUUUGAAUAGUCAAAGGUUUAUAUAAAAACGUAAAGAAUUUGUAGGAAAAAAAAACUUGUGGCGAGUAUCUAAUAAAUACAUUACUAGAUAUUUGUCACAUUAAAUAGUAGUGUAAUUUCGGAGAUUUUUAUAGAGAAUGGAUGUGAUUUGUCAGAUCUUUAGAUGUCAUGGAGCCAUUGAAAAGGAAAGGUUUAUUGAAUGGAUUUUUAUUGUACUGCACUACUGCUAUAUGUGGUCUUGUUUUGCACACGAUGAAGAAAGUUAAUCUGUGGCCCAGAUAUGAAUCGGUAACCAUUGUUAUGACGGUCCACUACCACAUUUUACAGGCCCAAUUGCUUUCAAUUAUGAUUGUGUUUUCGGUCUCUAGUGUUCUCGUUAUUUUAUUUUGUCAACUCAUAUACUUUAGAGUUUGAGUUGUCAUGAUUGGUUUGUCCUUGAGUCCGUAGCUCUUGCAUGCGAAAAGCAACCCAUUCUUGGGUUAUAGCAGUGUUGCGUUGAUAGAGAGAUUAUCGGUUCUCGUAGCUUCAAUAGAUUGGAAGCUUUUUAACGAGACUUGCAGAGUUCCCUAACCAUUGGUUGAUUGAAAAGAGUGAAAAUGGUAAUCUAACACCCUGGUGGUUUUCAAUUCAGCUGGUUUUAACCUUGACUAAGAUCUCUGAACUAUGGAAGUUUGAGGUUUAUUAGUUUCUCCAAUUUAAAUGGUGCAUACUGGUAUCGAUCUAUUUUAUUACUUACAGUUUUUCCUUCUUUGUACUUUUUUGUACUGGUGCAUUUCUGCAGGUCUUGUUUAUGUAAGACCAGUUUGGUCAAAAACUCUAUAAUGGAAUGAAUGAUUAAGAGUUAAAAAAAAUACUAGUCAAAAAUAAUAAUUCAUAAUGGAAAGCAUGAGUUCAAUUUUUUUUUUUCAAAAAAAAUAUUAGCUUAAUCACAUUUAGUUGAAUCUCAUAAUUAGAUGGUUUAUUUUUGAUCAACGUUUCUUCAUGUAUAUAUGCCCAGUUUUGAUGGUCAUACUUUUUAUGUAUCAUACUACUCCCUCUGUUUUUGUAUGUAAGUAGUUUUAACAAAAUAAGUUUGUUUCACAAUAUAAGAUGUCUACAUAAUCCAAAACACCUUUUGCAUUUAUUACAUAUGUUGUGACCAAUCUAAUAAUUUAUGUGUUUUUUAUUAUUGGCUAAAUUUAUGUACUAAUUGCUAUUUUUUUCAAAAGUAACAAUUUUCUUAAUAUUAUCACUUUUAACUAAAACUACUUACAUAUAAAAACAGAGAGAGUAUAUCAUAUGACAGUGCCAUCUUAAACAAUUUAAUAGUUUUGGACGAAACAUAAAAUAUGGAUAUUUUUACAUACAUUUUCGUCUAACAUUUUCUCAUUGCAUUUUAAAAAAAAAUUAAACCACAAGAACUUUUUGAUAUUAAUUUUUUUUUUAUAGAAAAAUGUGUCUUUUUAUGAAAAUCAGGUUUUGUAAACGUGAAAAUUGGAAAUGGUGAACCAUACAUACUUUGUUUUUUGUCUUUGUAUUAGGUUUAAUUUAUGAUGAACUCUUUUAUAGUUUUAUUAUAGAUUUAUCAACUAUUUGAUAAAUUAACAUAGUGAAAUAAGCUUUUAUAAUCCAUAAAAUAACACUAAAAUUUUUUGUGAACCCAUAGACUCAUGGCAAAUGUCUACGUUGUCAUGGGUAAGAGCCUACCCUGCAGCCCAAUAGUGUAAACAAACUCGCCCUAAUUAAGAGAAUAGCAAGUCGGCUUAGGAGAUGAGGAAAGAAGUCGUCAAAUUUACUUAUAAAUACAGCUUUACAUUUUUCUUGCCGAGUUUAUGGUUCUCUUAAAGUUUCAAUAAUUUGGUCUUGUAAUCAACCUUUGAUCUCCAUAAAUGUUUUCAAAUAACACACCACUGAAUUCGUGCUUUCAUCUUGAACACGCCGAGUUCAGAUUUAACACAACACUAAUUGCAUUUCAUUAUGUACACUAUUGAGUAUCGACACAUUUGUAAGUGAUUUUAUUGUUACUUGUAUACUAAUGUGCUUCUAAAAUUUGUUAGAUGAUCUACUCCUAACUCCUAGUCAAUUAACUGGAAAUGGAAUUUUGAUACUCGAAUAUAACAUGUUCUUAUAUUAUACAGUAUUAGUUUUAUACAAAAAGUAGGUAUCAGUGAGAUAUAUUAUUCGGCCGUCUGGCGUCUAGACCGUUUGAUCGACGGAUGUUUAUGCCGAAAUGUUGUUGACAUCCAUCACCGGUACUGUCAUGGAUAAAACUGUAUUUGUAUUUCCUCGACCUAAUAAACUUGAGACACCAAUACUUGUUUAAUUCCAUCAUGGAAGAAGCAUUAAUGUCCUUUCGACAUAUAACAAAACAAUCUUUUUAAUUCGUACGUAACAGAUUCAAAUGCAUGACUUUCCUACAUUACAAAACCUCUUUUCUUAAAUCAAGAAAGUAGCCGAACAUCUCCAAGUGACUGCAAGAAGAAUGGUUCAGGAACAGCACACGUCGAGUAAAACUUUCUUCUUUUUAUUUUAUUUCACACUUCACGUGUUGUGUGUGGAACUGUGUUCACAUUAGUUACAGCUCAACACAACUAUAUUCAUACAAAGUCUUGAUAGUAUUAACUGCGUAGAACCAAUACCUUCGAAACCAAUAACUAUAACCCAAAACCCAUUUAAAAAACAAACUUAAAGAAAGAAAUAUUUAUUGCUCAGCACAAAAGGUUAGGGAGAUAAUUAAUAAUCCAUUACAAAUCUUGGAGGCAGAAACAUUAAAGUUCUUGAGUCGUACGAAUACUCUAAUGUUCAGACCAUAGACUAAAGUUUUUUUCUUGUCAUUGUCAACAACCUCAUUUAAUAUUUUAGCAGUUGAAGGUUGGAGAAGAAGUGAUGCUUUCCUUUUUAUUUACACUUUUUUUUAUCUUAUAGACUUCAAUAACUUCUCAUAUUAUUCUCUUCUUCUUCUUUAUUGCUUAUAGUUCUGAGAUAUCAAAUGGAUUCAAAUCAUACUAUCCUCUUUGUGGCCUUUCUUAUUCUAUGCUUAACUGUGAAUGGAGUUACCGGAUAUGCCACGGUCACUGGCACGGUGUUUUGUGACCAAUGCAAGGAUGGAGAGAAAUCUUUGUUCGAUUUUCCCGUCUCCGGUAAGUAAGAAUGACAUUUGUAUACACUUUGUGUUUCGCUGUAUCUCUGCUUUUUCUUUAGGAUUGUGUUGUUGAUUCCUUGCAGGAAUCAAGGUUAGUGUCACAUGUUUGGAUGAAAAUGGACAAGUCUAUAUGUCAAGAGAAGAGACCACUAACUGGCUUGGAGGAUAUGUUAUGAGGUUCGACGGGACACCUGAUCUAAGCAACUGUUAUGCUCAGGUUUCAGACAAUGGAGCUCAACAAGGCUCAAGUAGUAGUUGCAGCAUCGCUUCAGGUCCUGCGCAGAAACUUAAACUAUUGUUUAGUUUCUUUGGGAUUGAAACCUUCGUUGUGGAUGCCCUUCUUGCUCAGCCGGUUCAGCCAAUGUCUUCUUGUCCUAAACCACCACCAGCUCCGGUUAUGCCUCCUCCUCAGGUCCCGGUCAUGCCUCCUCCUCAGGUUAAGCUUCCACCUUUGCCUCCAAUUGCUCAAGUCCCGGUCUUACCUUCUCCUAAGGCCCCGGCCAUGAGUCCUCCUCCAGAUACAUCGCCACCUCAAUUUAAGCUUCCACCUUUGCCUCCAAUCCCUCCAGUUCCAUUUGUAGAGCCCUCAGCUUGUUGUCACAAGUGAGCUUUCUCUUUAAUUCAUUGCUUUUUACUUGCACCCAUAAAAAAUGGCCAACCUAUCUAAAUGACAUAACAUUUUUGCUUUGUGACUUACAUAGGUUAUGGAUAAGACCUGAGUACAGAUGCUACUGGAAGGUGAUAGGUCCAGACACGAAGGUCGCGGUCGCGUUUGGACUAGUAGCCGGGAGGAGAUAUGGUACUGAUAUGACAGUAGGGGAGGCGCUUAAAGGGAGAGGAGAAGCCUACAAGACUCUCCUAAGGGAAGCAACAACUGCAUUACUCAAUUCAUACAACUCUCUUGGCUUUCCUUAUAACUCCGUUGCUGUGACCACAUACACAAAUAUGGCUCUCCUUGGGAACUCCCAGCACGAUGUUCUCAUGACAGCUAUCCGUUUCAUCAAGGCUAACUCGGGGACAUGCAAAUUCACAGACUGCAAGUGAUUUCAGUGUGUUUUAUUUUUAUCUUUAUUUAAAUACUCUACACUUUCUUAUUUUCCCAAUGUUCUUGGGUCCUUUUGUAACUAACACCUACUAUGAAAAACUACACUUGGAUUCAUUAUCUUUUAUGAAAUAUUGUAUGCCCUUCUAGUAAUAUGGACAAACACAAACUAUUUCCCCACAGACGGCGCCAACUGUCGAAGGUUAAGCCAUGUCUUUGCUUAAACAAAACUCUUCUUCUAAUGUUGUUACGUACUCUGUCUAUUUAAGCCAUGUCUUUUCAGUUUUCAGAGCUUGUUGUUAUUUUCAUUUCUUACGUCCAGACCAUAUUAACCGCUCAGUACCCUUUUCUUGUAAGAAGAAAUAAUAAAUAACUAGAAUUGGUAAUAGUAAAAUAUCAUUCAAUUAUGUGACAAAAUAUAUGAACAAAAUCUUGAAAAGUUUACGCUGGUGUGCGGUGACUCUGACUACAAGUACAACAUUGUAUCAUGAAUGAAACCAAUAUUUUUUUCAUGCAAAAAACAUCAGCAUCUCAAACUAAAAAAUCGUGAUGAACAAUCUAGUGCAAUCUAACUAGAACAAUUAUUAACUAAGGUCACUACCAGAACUUUUGGCCUUUUUGCUAGCAUGAAUCUUAGCAUAAAUCUCCUUUGUCCUAUAAGCCAACAGAAUAUCUAAACCGACUCCAAUAAUAGAAGCUAAAGCCAUCACCAAGAAGACGAGACGGUAACAAUGAGCUCCGACGCAAGUGUUGCCCCCACCAGGAGUUGGUGUAGCCUCUGCAUCGUAGAGGAACCCAGCGAGGAGACCAGAGAAGAGGAACGAGCCAAGUGGUAAGUUAAGUACUAAGAUGUUGUAGAUGAGACCAUAGUAUUUGAGACCAAAGAGUUCUGAUGCUGUGGGUACAGUAAUAGCUAGACGGACACCAUAACAAACUCCGACCACCAUUGAACCGAUGUAAAGUGAAUUGGGGACAGCUAAAGCCAUUAGUAGAUACCCUACAGCCAUGAGGAUUUGAGAUGCUGCGUUCCAUAGUGGUCUUGGUGUUCCAGCUUUCCUAUAGAAAUCAAGAGUAAAAUUCACACUAUUUGCUCAGUAAAGUUAUUAAAUCAGCACGCUGAUAAUGAUCUUCUCUUUCUUUUUUUGAGCAUGAAAAAUCUAUGCUCGUAAAUAGUUUGUAAACAUCUUAAAGUUUGUAAAGAAUCUAGAGGGGGAAAUUCACGUGGUGAGGAAUUAAACAGUGUGGUCCUAAUAAAAAGAGCAAGAUCGCUGGAUUUGGACUUAUCUAUGCACAAGAACAAAAAACUAUUGAAAUGAUCAAACAGAGAAAUCUAAAAGAUCUAUUUUCUUUAAUUGAAAAGUCAAUAAGUGGAGAAAAAUGCAGACAAACCAUUGAUUGUGUGUCCAUGGGUGUAGAUGGGUUAUAGCUUUCUAAUUAAUGUUACAACGAUAAUGAAAGCUUAAGGAUAGCUCCGUACCAAAAAUACCAACCACAUGAAAAUAAAGUGAAUAGUAAGUUGCGGGCGGAUACAAUUGUAUGGAACAUAAAGUGUCGGCAAGUGCUAAUUGGAAGAUGGUGUCGAACCUAACCAAAUAAUUAGACUUUUUGUCAACUUUGAAAAUAGUUAGAUAUUAAUUAACAUUUGUCAUUCACAAAAAAUAAUCAAAACUUAUUUAUGUCAAAUAACUUUUUUGGUACAAGUGUUGUUUUAAGAUUUCAAUGCAUUUAUGAUAUUAGUUAAAAAAAAAAAUAGCACUAAACCAAGUUUUUGUUCAUAAAGUAGCACUCAAGGCUCAAAGUCACAAAAAUAUGUUUGAUUAAAGAGGUAAAUAUACACUUAUACCCCUUGAGUUAAUUAAUUCAAAGGGGUGGGGUUUUAGAAUUAUGGUUUAAAAUUUUAUAAAAAAUUAAUAUUAAAAUAAAAAAUAAAAAUUUUAAAAACAGUUUCAAAAAGUAUUUUUAAAUUAUAAAAAGAAAAUUUGAAAAAAAUAAAAAAAAAAUUCGAAAAAAAAAUAAAAAAAAAAUUAUAAAAAUUUCGAAUCUUAAAACAUAUAAUCUGAAACUAUAAAAAAAUUUCUUUUUUUUUCAUUUUUUUUAUUUUUAUUUUAUUUAUUUUUAUUUAUUUUUGUUUGUUUAUUUAAUUUUAAACCAAAAGUAUUAGAGAUAUUUUACCCUUUAAUGAAUGUCAUUUUUGUGACUUUCUCCUUCUAGUGCUAUUUUUGAGACAUAAACUUCAAAAAAUGCUAUUAUUGACAAUUGCCCUAUUAGUUAAUCUCUCUUAACUGUAUACUAAAUUAAAAAAUAAAGAUAAUAAAAUUUUAAUAUUUAAAUAUUUAAAUAAGGAUAAACUAAAUAUUAACUAUUUUCUUAAUUAACAUAGAAAACCUAAAACAAAUUUUGAUUUGAAACAAAUGUAGUAUAUUUCAGCAAAGAAGGAGUGUUUAAUAAGCACGUUUUGAAUUAUAUACUUUUUCACGAAAAUAACUUUAUCGGAAAUAACAAAAAAUUGAAAAGGUCACUAAUAAAGUAGAAGGAGACUUACUUGAGAAAGUGUUCGGAGAGAGUUCCGGAAAGAAUACGACCGAAGAAGCCCCAAAUACUAGUCAUGGAGACGAAGAUCGAGACGUCUGUGUAACCAAGUGCAAGCCCAAUCUGGCCCAUGUUGUUCAUCACUGCCAAACCAGUCCCUACACCACACAAGAACGACACGAACAGCACCCAAAAAUCGACAGUCAGCAUCGCUUCCAUUAUCGUGUGUUCUUCUCCCAACACCGGCCUCUUCCUCUCCUCCACAGGACUCUCCUCUUCUACAACUACUUCUUCCUUCUCCGCCGAUCUCAGCAGCGGUUCUUGAACCCGCCCUUCCACGUCUUGUUCUUCACCGCGGUUCAAGCUUCGUAUGAACGAGUGGAAAGGUAUGGCGAUCGGAGAGAACAGGAGGAAGAGAAGUACGGAGGCGAAAACGACCGAGAACACUCCGGUUUUGAUUCCGAUGAUGUCGUAAGACUGAAGGUACACAGCAACAACGACGGCUAGGAUGUUGAAUACCGCGAAGUAACGCGUCUCUUCGCUCUCCUCGUCGGCGGAGGAAGCCGGAGGGAUCUCACGGAGGAAGAAAACCGCCGUGAGACAGACUCCGAAAGGCACCACCGCGAGUAAAACGAGAAACGACGCAGGAUCGUUUGAGAAGAGAGCAGUGCAGAGAUCGGUGAAAAUAGCCGUGCUUAGACCGACGUAUCCUUUCAAGAUCCCCGAGACCGGACCACGGUUUCGCCGGAAGUUUCGUAUGCAAGUAACAAGAACCGCCGUGUUCAUCCACGUCGUGCUGUUUCCUCCCAUACAGAGGAAUAUACACAUCUGAACAUUACAAACCCUCAGAAUCAAGAAUUGCGCUAGUAUAAAUUCAAGAAUAUUAUUUUUUUUUUUUUAAUAAUAUUAUUUGUACCUGCCAAUAAGGGAGAGGGGUGAUGGUGCGGCUAACGACGAGCCAUUGUACACCAUAGCCAAGAAGACCUUCUAAAGAACCGAUAAGGAGGAUCACUGGAGUGGAAAGACGGUCCGAGGCGAGGCCAGCGAGGAUUCCAAAGGCUUUUCCGACGUCUUUAGCGACGGAGAGGUUGUUGAGCUGGAGCUGGUUGAGGUUCAUGAGUGACUUGAGAGCGCCAGAGUAGUUGGAGAAAGUGUAGUUGUUGCCGGAGAUGGACUGAACCCAAACCGCCGUCACAAAUCCAAGCCAUUUCAGUGCAGAAGAAGAAGAGGGAGAUCUCAGAAUGCCCAUUGUAGAAGAAAGAAGUUCAAGAAGAAGAAUGUGUUGGUUGUGGAGGUUAAAAUUAAGGGAGGUUUUAUAGAAGGGAAAGGGGAUAUCUUUUGUUUGUGUGAGUGUUUUUUAGUUUAAUUAAAUCGUUGUUGUUUUACAUUUUGUAAACAAUUGUUUUUUUUUUUAAUUAUACAAGUGGGGAAUGAGAAUAGAAAAGGUACGACGGCGACAUGUAGUACGGUUAAGAAGGUGUGCAAACCGUGGAUACAUCACGACAUGGAAUAUUUAAAAGACGGUGUGCUCAUAUUAUAGAUUUCUUAGUCGUUUAAAACAAUUAAAGUAGGUGGCCAACUAGGCUAUGUUGCUAGCCGUUGCUGCUUAGAAUGUUUGUUCCUCCAAAGCUUCAUGUUAGACUCCUAAUGCAUAUUGUGUAUGAUCCCAUCUAUACAGGAGAUGUAUGAUCAAAACAGAGCUAAAAUAGUUAAUAAAGUGCGACAUGAACUAUUACAGAGAAAAAUGUAUGACGUGGACUGAAUUAAGUGUUUUUCAAAGUACGAUCUAGGCCUGGACAUUUUAUCUGAUACAUGAACCCGUACCGAAACUCGAAAUGAAAAACCCAAGCCAAAAUCCAAACUAAAAUAGUAAAAUAUCUGAAUAUGAUAUAGAAUUAGGAGAGAUUGGAUAUUCAAGCUCAGACGGGUAAAAAUUGAACCCGAAUAGAUAUCCAAACAUAAUCGAGUAUAUAUAUACUAAACCCUCUAUUCCUAGUUUGCUUUUUUCGUUUUAUUCAAAAUAUUUAUAUUGAUGUUGCAUAUGACUCAAGAUCAGAUAAUAUACAUAUAAUUAUGGACAAAAUGAUUUACUACUCAUUUAAAAUGCAAGUCAAACUUCUUGUUUCAUGCAUUAACAAUAGUUGCAUCUAAAAUUUCAAAAUAACAAUUUUUAAAGUUUUAUCUCCAAAUAUAUAAAUAGUCUAACCUAUUAAAAAUUAAAAAAUCAGUUACGUUAAUGGUAAAUUUAUAAGUACAAGAAACUUCGGUAAUGAAAAAUUUGAUUUCUUUUUUCAAAGUCUAAAUAUCCAAAUCCUAUCCAAAAUAACCAAACCCGAGCGGGUUCCAGACUUCAAUACCUAUAGACCCGAAAUCUUGAAAUAUUCCGAUCCGAACUCAAACGGGUACCCAAAAUGUCAUGUCUAGUAGAGUCAAUAAAUAAAAAUUUACUUUGGAGCAUGUUAAGAGAAGUAGUAGAGAAAAAGAAAUCGACCUUGCAUAAAAAAUUGACUUCUUUGGUGGAUAACACAAAAUGAAAACUUCACAAACAGAUCGAGAUGAAGCCAAUUUAGUGGGGCAGAAUUGGAACACCCAACCGAAAAAUAUUUGAAAAAUCCAUUGAAAAAUCUAAGUAAAAAUUGAGUCAAAUUUUAACAAAUGAAAUGAAGAAAUACAGCCACUUUAUUGAUGAAAUACAAGAUUAAAUAUUGAAGAACUUAAUGGUGGUAAUGAUAUUAAAUGAAUCUAGUAUAGACAUGUAAUGGACAGUAUGAAGACAAUAUAUGGUAUUUAUAUUGGUUCUACGAAGGGUUAUAGCGCCUUGUCAUAUACACGAGAGAUGGUUAAAGACACUCAUGCGAGUGACUAGGAUAAAUUUAUUUUCGUAUCUAUACAAAAUAAAGAAGGCCGUUCGAUGUACAAUUACAAGAUUUUUUUUUUUUUACGUCGAAAGACUAUUCUAUUACUCAAGUUUGAGGUGGUCUGGAUAACCAAAUCGGAAUAAAACAACCAAUAAAAUGUUACUCCCUAUGGAAGGAUCUAGCAGUCUUAGCUAAAAAGUCUGAAAUCUGAUUGCGCGCUCGUGGAAUAUGAAUGAUGUUGAAAUCCGGGAAGCAUAUUUGUAGCGUCUCUAUCCUCUCCAAUUCUGUCGCAAAGCUUGGCCAAGCCUGAGGUUCCUUUAUCAUUAUAAUCAGUUCCUUAGAGUCUGUCCCGAAGCUCUGGCAUGUUGAAUGUUGAAGCAUAUAUUCUCCAUCGCCCAUCGCAGUGCUUCUACUUCCGAAUGCAAAACCUGAUUUGCGUCGAGUGAAAUUUCUUGUCCCCAUAAGUUGAAUGUUCCCAUAACUGUCCAUCUAGAGCCAUCCACAUUCACUAAAGUGAGCAGAGGAUGUCCAAGAUCCAUCUAACAAGCAAAUAUUACCCAAGCUUAUGACUUGGGAUUCGUCAAUAUUGUUAUCUUGUAUCACUGGUUGUACCACUUCGUUGGCAUCAAACCAGGCUUGGCAUUCACUUCAUGCAUGUCGAACUAGCUCCAAAGGAUCUCUAUCUACCCCCUAAAAACUUUGUCAUUUCUAACAUUUCAAAUAUACCAUAUUAUCCAGGAAUAAGGAUUUAUAUCUUGUUCUGACUCGAUAAUGUUGUUUUUCCUCCAUAAUAGGUAAUCCAUAUUUGUGUAGAUGCUUGGUACUGGAAAUAUACAUGGGGUUCUUGGAGUUGAUAAUAAUGAUCAAACUUGGAGAGCUGACGGACAUUCGAAUAUGGCAUGGGUUACAGUUUCUUCUAGUUCUUCACAUCUUGGGCAGUAGUUGUCACACCUCAUAUUGCGUCUUGUUAAGUUCCUCGUUACUGUCACAUGACCAGUUAACAAUUGCCAUAUAAGAUGACAUAUCUUCAUAGGUGUCUUUAGCUUUCAAGCAAAGGCUUCGAGCUUAGUGAUGCUUGGUUCAAAAACUUCAUUUUCUUCCGCUGUCGUUAAUAAAUUUUGAGCCACCCAAUAUCCAGAUUUAAUUGUGUAUUGGCCAUUCCUUAUAUAGUUUCAACAGGAUGUAUCACGAUGAUGAGUUGAGCUUAUAUCCAAGCUCCUUAUGAAUGGUAUGUCCUCCGGAUGUACAAUUACAAGCUUAAAUGUGAUAAUCAACAAUCGUUUAUAAAAUUGGUGUUAUUGGGAGUUGUAUUUUUAACCAUUUAACUCAUAACACAAGAUUUUGAAAAUACUACUUAAAUACCUUAAAUUUUUAGAAUCAUUAUAUCAAUGUAUUUUCAUAUAAUUUCACAAUAAACAAAAUUCUCCUAAUUUUUAAAAUCAACAAACUUUAUAUAAAUCUUACUCCUACUAACACCCCUUGAGCAUUUAAAAGUUAUUUUGCAAGUUUUUUUUAGGAAACACAACUAAUAUUCCCACUCUAACUCCACUGGACUAUAAUAUUAAAAAUCUGACUAAAAUAUACUUUACAAGUGUAUACAUUUCUUACUCUCUCUAACCUCCGAAAUAAAAUUGAAAUUGGAUGUUAAUAAGAAUAAAAAAUUAUUUUUAAAAAAACAGGAAUAAGAUUGGAUCUGUCUUUGUAAAUAAAAUACAACCAACGCUGCAUUCCCCUUAAUUUGGAGGCAUUCUACAAGUGGCCUUAGAUAAUCUCGAAAAGCCAUUACGAAAAAUAUAGAUUUAUGAACAGCGAUAUCUUUCUUUAGGCAAUUUGUGUCGUCUAAUUUUUUAUAGAGCCAUGUUGUACUAACAUUGAGGGAAAAAAGGCAUCGCCCUGCUUGCUAGACAGAAUAAAACGUGGCAUAAUAGACAACAAAAAAAAAAACGUGACAUAAUAAAAAUGAUUGUACCUUUUUAAGAUCAAUAUAUUUAUGAAUCAAGAAGACAAAUAUAUCCAGCUGUUUUUGUACUCUAGACAAAUAAAAUUGAAAGUCAAUAAUUUGAACUAAACUAAAUUAUUUAUAGCAGAUUAAAAGAAGAAAAUGCUGAAAAUAAAACAAAAAAGAAAUAAAAUAAUUUUUGGACUUUUCUUUUCAAAUAAAAAAUGGAAACAUAUAAAAUAUCUAAAACAAAUUAAGUGACAUUACGAAAUAUCUCAUUGUAUUGCGGUCUAAUUCAAAACCUCUUUACUAUUAUUCCAAUAUAUAUAUAUACAAAUUAAUAAAUGUUGAAUACGAGUAUUUUCAAGAGAAAAUUAUAACUUUAUCUCAAAUCUGACACUAUUUUUUAAAUUUAUUUUUAAAUGUCAACUAUUUCAAUAAAUAUUUUAAAUAUAUUAUAAAAUACAAAAAUAUCCCUCAUAAAUAUUUUAAAAUUAUUUAUAAAAGUUUUAAAACACAAUCCCAUGCACCCACUAAAUACUAUAUCAUGAACAGUAACCACUAAAUCAUAGAUGCAAAUUUUAAAGUGUUUUUGAAAAAUAGUAUCCUAUUCAAUGUAUUUAAAACAUUUUUUUAUAUUUUCAAUGCAAUUUUAAGUUCUUUUAAGCUUUCUUUAGCCCAAAGAAGGUUCUAUAUAUGCCAACUAUCUUUAUUUGUUAGUGGAGGGAAAGAUCACUAAUUAAGUAAUUUAAAAUGUUUUAAAAAUUGUGGAAAAACAGAAACAUAUUUGUAAGAGAAAUCAGAUCAUAUAACCAUACCAAUAUCAAAAUUUAGUAAAUGACCAUAAUAAGUCAUGUGCUAUGAUAAAUUUUGUAUAUAUUAUGUAUUAAUUUCUAUAUUACCUUCAUGUAUGUUGAUUAAUCUUUUUUUUUCUUACAUGUUUCCUCCCAUUUGUUUAAUUACUUAUAUUCCUUUUGAUCUGGUGUUGAGAAACUCUACGAAUUAAUCUUAAGAAAUGUUAAAAAUUUAUGAAAAAAUCAAUAGAGAUAAACAAAUAUUUACAACCUUAAGAUAUGUAUUUAUACUUUUCAAAAACUUUUUUUCCUUUUUACUAUAUUUUACUGGUGCGUUAAAAUUUAAAUCACUAUUAGAAUCAACAUUUAGUAAAUGCAGUCAAUCACCGCAAGUUUAUUAUAAAUUUUACCAUAAUAGACCAUUUAAUAUAUUAUUGAUAAGAAAUAUAUGAUCUGUUAUUUGUGUUUCAAAUCCUAUUUCAUAUGUUCAUUUUCAAGUUAGAUUCAACAAAGUAUAUAGAAAUUGAUAUAUAGUUUGGCAUAAUGUGGCAAAACUCUAUUGACUAAACCUUUUCCGAUUAUGGAAAUAAAUAAGAACAUAUAUGAUGAAUAAAAAUAUGCAAUUUAAUCAAGUGGCAAUGGUCUAGUGAUUCUUGUUUUAGGAGAAAUUGCUCUAUAUGUGUAAGUUCAGAGAUCAAUUUUCUUCAAAUGUGAAAUUAUUUAGCUAUUCACAUUUGACUAGUCCAUAUAGUAACUUGUUUUACACCUAUUAAAAAAACAUGAUGAAUUGACUAUUUGAUAGCAAUAUUCAUCUUUGGGAGAUUAAUCGGGUGAUAAAUGUCCAUAUCAGUUCUUAUAUUAAUCGGGUGACAAGAAACGAUGCAAGUUGUAGUUUGUAAAUAAUAUCAUCCAAAAGAAAUUAAUUAAUUAUAAGGUGGUAGGGGUAAAUAGAUUGACAAAGACGGUUGUUAUCUUCUGAGCCAUUCAAUUGAUUUGCCGGAGAAAUUAUCACAAUUUUGGUUAUCCCAGUUUCUCAAAAACGAGCAAACCGUGAACCGGUUCUCAAAUAAUAUACUCCAUUUUUUUCAAAAGUGUUCUCAAUUAAUAAAAUUAUUAAAUUUUUUAUUUGAUAUAAAUUUUUAGUUUUACUAAUUAAUGAAAUAAAACAAGGGUAAACUAUAGAAAAAUGUUUAAAAAAUGCAUUGGAAAUAUAAAAAACAUUUAUAAUGAAACAAAAUUUAAAAACUAAAAUGACACUUAAUAUGAAACGGAGGGAGUCUAUGAUUUAUUUUUCUUUGGAUCUACUAAAAUUAAAUAUAUUAAUUCUUGUUUUUUUCAAAAAAAUAUAGUAAUUCUUUUCGACAAACAAAUAUAGUAAGUUUUAUAUUUUGUAAAAUCAUUGUGUUUAAAACAUUUCCUGUCAAAGGGUUUGGUUAUUAAAAAAAAAAAAAAAAUUACAACGGAAAAGAACCACGACCACAAAGGUCCUAGGACUGUAGGAGUAGAGAGAUGCGUUAACAAAAGAAACCCUCGAAAACUCAAAUUAUAGAGAGGAAAAAAGAAGGGAAGAAUCCAUUUCCUUUUUUUUUGUCAAGUAGAGAGUACAUUUCCUAUCAGUGGCGAAGCACUUAGAGAGAAAAGAGAGAAAAGAGAGAAAACGCGUGGGAGGGAAGCACCGACGUACGGCGGCGCGUAUGCGCGCGUGCCGGCGCCGGUGGCUCCCUUCUUGUCGAUCCUUGCUAGGUUUUCCUCUGUGCGCGUCGAUCUGCUGUCCUAUCCGAUAUAUUUUCGGAUCUGGAAUAGGGUUUUAUCGUCGGAAGAGAUUUGUCUACGGAGGGUUUCAAACGGCGGUAAUCUCUCUUUCUCUGGAUUCGUGGUGAGGUAGUAGGACGCGGCUCGUCGCGACAGCUUGUUAGUUUUUUGGGUUGAAGUUAGGGUUCAUUCCGGGAGGCGGAGGCUCCGUUAGUUCCGCCGUCGCCGUUCAAGUUUCCGGGGGGUGGAGGCUUCUUCAGCUCUGCGUCGCCGGCAAAGUCUCCGGGAGGUAGAGGCUCUCUCAGCUCUGCGUCGCCGGAUCAUGCACCGAGGGGUGAAGGCGUCUUGUACCUUGCCUCGUCGGCUCUUGCUGCUUAAUUUUUAGAUUAGUUUUUUUAGGGCCUUUGUGGUUUGUUUAUGGCGUUGGUGAUGGUUUAGACCCGUGUGUGUUCUCUCGUUGGAGGAAGAGAGAAGCGUCCGUAUCAAGUUGGUGAUGUUUCUGUGAGCCGUGGUUGUUACUCUGGUGUGUGCUCGAACGGUGGUGGUGAUGAUCUCGCUCCGGCGAUUGAUCUCGCCGGUAAAGAUUUCUCUAGAGUACAAGACGGCGGUGGUGAAGAGUGUGUGUAGGUCAUGGGAUCCGGUUUGUCACGGUGAGGCAUGCUCCUGUAGUGGCCGGUGAGAAGCGUCCGAUCUCUGACGUAAGUGCUCCCGGUGGCGGCGACGUUUGCGGGUUUGCUUCUCGAAGUAGGGCGAACCGCGAGUCGGCGAGUUUGGGUUUGAGGAUAUCGGACUUGGGCCUAAGCGGGUUGGUUUUUUUAAGUUGGGCUUUGUGUUUGGGCCUUUUGGUCUUUGUAACUCUCUUUGGGCUUCGGCCUUUUUGCUAAUAUAAUUCAGUUGGAAAAAAAAAAAAAGAGAGUACAUUUCCUAUUAAAAGAUGUUUGGAGAAGGCAUCAAAGAGUGUACCAAAGAUCUUGAGGCAACCCAUUUUUAAAACUCGACUAAGUCUCUUUGAAUAUGAACGCAAUAAUCUAGUUUAUUAGACAGAACUAGCAUUCCCACAAGAAUAAACGCAAUAAUCAAGAUUGCGUUUACUACAUUUUUUGCCUUCUAAAUACAACUAACAAUUCGUACUCAAUUCGUUAGCUUACGAUAUCAAAGAUUGGACGUUCAUAAGAAAAAAGAAAAAAAGUUAUCACUUAACGAGUGUACAAAUUGGUUUCCUCUUCCUCAUCCUAUAAAAGUACGGGCAAGUGUUUUUUUUUAUAGUUAUGAAGUGUAUGGUACAACGUGAAAAGGACUGUAGCUUGUUUCCUUCGAUUUGAAAGCAAUUUACAAGUGGCUUUAGACGUUCACCAAACGCCGUUAAUUUCUAAAAGCUCUAUGAGAGCAGAAAAAUGCUUUUCAACAGCAUGCAAAUUGUUUAAGAAACCAUGUUGCAACUAAGGUCAAACAAAUAAUAAUAAAAUAUCACACCGUAUCUAAUCAAAUCUUAAUGCUUGACCGAGUCACAUGUGCAACAAUCCUUGCAACUCAACCUGCAUCAACAUCUUAAACUUUCACGAAUCAAAAUCACCCUAGUCAACAAACUUUUUCAUCUCACUUGUUCCAUUAACAGAUUCCAUCUUGAUCUAUAUUUCAAAAGACGAUCAAUAGCAACACAAAACUUUAAGCAAUACAGAUCAACCUUACAACCUCAAAAUCAAAACGGAUCAAACCUUUAUUCUCUACACCGAGAACCUGGCUUUGUUUGGGUAUUCGACCUAGUUUCUUCUUGAUUGAGCUGAUCUAAACUUAGCAAGUAAUAGAACUCAAGAAAACAAGCAUACACAUACGAGAUUUGUUCAUCCGGACUUUGUUUCCUACUAUCCGCAAAACUCUCGAACCUUGAUUAUUGAUUGAUGUGAUACAAAAGACUGAUACCUUGUAUUGAUUUCAGACUUGAAAUGAAUGUAUUCGGUUAACCAAAAAAAAUAGACCAUUUUUUCCGGUAGCUACAUGACACUAGCCUUUACAUAUUUAUUCGAGAUUAUUAUAUACCCGACAUUCUGCCCCAAACAAAAUUCCAUCGAAGUUUAAAACAAAUAAACCGAAACCAAACUACCCGAAUAAAAUCAAACCGAUUAUUUAAUUUGGUUUCAAUUUUCCAAUAACCGAAAUUAUCCAAAUCGAACCGGAGCUACCAGACUUGUCUAUUUUGAUUUUUCUUCUAACGAAAGGAGACUUUAGUCUGAUAAAUCACGCCCGUAAUAAAAUAUAUAGCUUCUCCGAGGAUUCGAUUCGAUUCGAUGAAGGCUGCUCGAGUCUUGGCGGCUGCGGCGGCGAGGGUUGGACCGGCUAUAAGGAAGCAAGUGUUAACCAUAACGGACGAAGCUGCCUCUAGGGUUCAUCAUCUCUUGCUCCAGAGGCAAAAACCUUUCCUCCGACUGGGCGUUAAAGCAAGAGGCUGCAACGGUUUAUCAUACACCCUCAAUUACGCAGGUAACCUCACACACAAACCAUUGUCUUGAUUUUUUUAGUGGAGAAGGCCCACGUUGCCUCCAAUGGGAUGUUUCUUGUUUUGUUGAAUACUCUAGAUGCUUGCCUAUUGCUAUGUUACACUCUGUUGAUCAUCACAUAUUGUUUAUAGACUCUGAUCAUGUGAUCAGAUGAGAAAGGGAAAUUUGAUGAGCUGGUGGAGGAGAAAGGAGUGAGGAUCCUUGUGGAACCCAAGGCCUUAAUGCAUGUGAUUGGAACAAAGAUGGAUUUCAUAGAUGAUAAACUAAGGUUUGCAAACUCUUGUCACAUUUUUAUUUCAAAACUGUAACAAUAUUUUUUUAAAAAAUAUUUCUGUUGUAUAAUUGCAGAUCAGAGUUUGUGUUCAUCAAUCCAAACUCGCAAGGUCAAUGCGGGUGUGGUGAAUCGUUCAUGACAACAUCUACUUCCUCGAGUGCUAAACAGAGUGGAUAGUGUUGGCUGCUGCACUAUCAUAUAGUAUUAUCACUUUGUUACUAUAUAAUCGGAGUCGUUGAUUGGAAACAAGUCCGGUCGUUGCUCAUAGAUAUUACUGAAGCUUGUGAUUUGUGGAGAUCAAUUAAUGUAUUCUUUAGAACACAAAGUUAUAAUAAAGUGUUGGAUUAUGUAAAAAGUAAUUGAUCUUAGAAUCAGGAGUUUUCGCUAUGUUGAUCGAUCUGUGGGUGGUUGUGGGAUCAAAAGCUGCCUCUUCAUAGUUGAUAUGUGUUCCAGUGAAGGAAGUUUUAAGGCAGGUUUUGGUUGAAGUUACUCUUUAACAUUCAGACAAAAGCGUAACUAAACAUAAAGAAUGGAAACCUGUAAUUUAUUUUGGAUGCAGUGUGAAUAGAGCUUAAUUUGUUUUCGCAAUGUAUAUGGUGACUUAGAAAGCUGUUUGAAUGAAGUAAAUGGAGAUACUGAUACCAAAGAUGAGAUUCUAAAGACAAACUUCAAGGAAAAAAAAAAGCUACAUAGACAAGCUCAUGCCUGUUGAUUUAAGACAAUACUUCAAUUACUCAAAAGUAAGAAAAAUCAAACAAGGUGCAGGAACCAACAUAAUAAUAACAAGAUAAAAGAAAUAUUGCAUUGUAUCACAAGCUAACAACACCAAAGAACUUUCCACUCCUUAAUCGUUGAAGCUGAGUAACAGAACCAGGUCUCUUCUUCCUCCACCACCAAAAGCCUCAACAGAAGCUACACUCACCACGACCGCCACAACGACCACCGGAAAAAGGGCCACCAACAUUAAGACUAGUAGGACCAUAUCCACGACCACGAACAAAAGGACCAAAACUAGUAGUGGUGGUCGCCUUUUUAGUAUUUGCUCUAUAAUUUCUCUGGACAGGCUCUUCUUCAUCAUCAUCAUCAGAAGAAGAUGAUUCAUCCACAGACAUGUUGUCUGCCUCGGCCGCCUUUACACUGCCAGUUUUCAUUAAACUAACCGAUGAGAUCAACAUAUCCACUUUUUCUUCAAUCUCCCGAAGACGACAGUCCACCUUUUCUUCCAUCUUCUGAAGACGAUGAUCCACCUUUUCUUCCAUCUUCUCAAGAAGAUCAACCAAUCCUUUCAACAUCUCUAUCACAUCAGGUGUUUUUUUCUCGGUUAUGUCUUUCUUAUGUUUCUCCAAAUCAUCUCUCGGCUCUCUGUUCACUACUUCCUUUAGAUGCGCCGUGGCCUUAAUCGCAUUCGAAGCUGCUCCAGACGGGGUGGCGGAUUCUUUAUCCAUUGAGAAUAUGAGAAGAGCGAAUCUAUAGGUUACAGGGUGAAAGUGGAGAUCGGCAAAAAAGACCUAGACGAAACUGAUAUUUAUAAAGUCUUUUAUUGAUGUAGCGUGCAUCGUAAGUCCUAAUGUAUUUUGGUUUUUAACUUUUUACUAGAGCUUGACCCGCGCAUCCGCGCAGGUGUUAAUUUUUUGAUAAAUGAAUAUUUAUUUGUAUAAGUGAUAAUAUAUAUUUUAAAAUUUACCCGUUUAAUUUUUUUUUAAUAUGACAUUUAUAAACACAAUAAUUUUAUAGUUUAUAUUGAGUAGUUUUAUUUUAUCAUGUAAACCCUUAAUUAUAUCAUCCAUUUAUUUAGAAUACGACCUGUAAAAUCACACAAAUGUAUUUUUAUUUUUUAUGGAUCAAAAUUUUAUGAUUAUAUAUAAUAAAAUUAUUGUAUAAACUGUUUUUAUGGAUCAAAAUUUUAUGAUUAUGUAUAAUGAAAUUGUUGUAUACUAUUUAUUAUGUAUAUGUGGAAUUAGUAAAAUAAUUACCGUAUAAUGUAUGUAAUUACGAAAUGUAUAUAUGGAAUUAAUUAUUUUCAAAUACACAUAUGUAUAAUAAAAAGGAAAAGACAAAAAAUAUUAAAAGUUAGGUUUAUUAAUUAUUGUUGCCAUGAUUUUUUAGUUAGAAUUUGAUUUUGGAAAUACAUUAAUUGAAGAAAAAAGACAAAAAUCCUAAAAGAUAGGUUAAUUAAUAACUUCAGUGGCAUGCCAUUGUAAAUAUAGUGGAAAACUAAGGGAUAAUCUAAUUUUGUACUCCUAUUUUAAUAGAUUAGAUGUAUUUUGGUUUUUAACUUUUAUUGAUGUAGCGUGCUUCGUAAGUCCUAAUGUAUUUUGGUUUUUAACCUUUUUAUUGGUUGCAGCGUGCAUCCUAAGUCCUAUUGUAUUUUUGUUUUUAAUUUUUGUUUUCUUAUUUACCUUUUUCCCCUUCUUGAUGAUUAUAUUGGUAUUUUCCUUUAUUACAUUACAAACCAAAUUUUGUUUUGUUCCAUUUUAAAUUUCCACUAGGUUAAAUUUUAUAAUUUAGGAUAUAAGAAGGUAAAUAAUUUUUAUGGAAAAUUAUGUCCUGAAAUAUGGAAACUUCAAUAUGCUGAAAUAUGGAAAGUUCUCCAUUUAUGAAAAGUUUUCCAUUUUAUUUAGAGGUAAGAAGAAAACCAGGCUCUAAAGUAAAAAAAAAUUUCUAAGCAGGAGAAGGUGGGUGUCCUUCUCUAAGAAAAAUGAAUGAUUUCUUGGAUUAAUUAUCUCCAAUAGUUUUCUUCUUAUCUUUCGAUUUCAUGAGUGAAGUCUGAGAUUACAUGUACACUAGUGGACUGGAGUCAUACAUUUUCAGCAAGUGUGUAGUACGAGAAGGAUCUCCUAUUUUUGAACAAUUUUUUGGAUUAUCUUGGUCUGGACCGUGUGGAAACCCAAAAUUAAAUAUCUCACUACGCCAAGGCGGAAGAGAUUGUCGUACUUUAUGUUGUUCUGGCCCAGAGCCGCGUAUGAAUUUUACCAUAUUCGUUUCCUGGUUAAACGAUCGUCAAAGAGCUUCCGGUUUUCUCCUAUUUUUAAGUUGUGUAGGUAAUCCCUUAUAUAUUAAUUGAGGAACAUUUGAAAAGAUGUAACCUCAAUUUUGUAUUAAUUAAAAGAUGCCCCAAUGCAUACGUGUCACUCAAUUAGGUAGUCAAUUACAUUCAAUUGAAAAAUAAGUAGGUCCACAUUCAAUUUUUAUAUGUUGUUAGAUAUAUAAGUUGGUCAAACUAUAUGAUAUAAUGAUAUGAUAUGAUAUUUUCUUUCCUUAAAUAAAACCUACGGAAUUACCAUAAAUGACUAAUAUAUAUAUGACAAUUAAUGAGUUUAAUAAUAAAGAUUUGAUAACAAUGUAUAUCUCCUCCAUCAUUUUUUGUUUAAUUUUAUAUUAUUAAAAUAAAUUAAACAAUCAAAUUAGCUAUAAAAAGAAAAUUUAGAUUUUUUCGUAUAUGUUAUAUUUUGAAUUUUUAAAAACGAUAAUAAAUGACUAAAACUAUUAAAAUUUUUAUGUUAAAAAUUAAUGAUCAAUGGUUUAACAUUUUUAUUAUAAGAAGAUACACAUGAUUUUAAAACCAUAUGAGUAAAAAAUAUCAUUUAAUAAUAAAAUAAAUAUAUAUAUAUAUUAAACACUAUAUACCAUAAGAUUACAUAAAUAUUUUAAUAUUAAAACUUUCAAUGAAUUUUCAAGAACAUUUAUAAAUUAUAAACUUAUUAAAGAUUUCAGAUUGAAAAUUUUGUUAUCGAUGAUUUAAAUAUUUUGUUAUAAAACGAUAUGAACGAUCAUAGAACCGUAUGAUUAUAAAUUCUUAUUUAAUAAAUAACUAUACAAAAUAUACUAUUCCUAGAAAAAUAGGUUGGUCUAUCUUAACUUAUAUUACACUUUUUAUUAAACUAACUAUCGAAUUGAUAAAUAACGUACCAAAAAAUGUUUUGCACUUUCCUUAAAUAAAAGCUACGAAAUUACCUAAUAUGAUUAACGUAUAUGUGAAAAUUAAUUAUAAUGAAUAAUAAAUAUUUGAUAACAAUUUUUGUAUAUUAGUUCUUUUUUUUUAAUUUUAUAUUAUUAAAAUAUAUUUAAAAAUCACAUUAAAUAUAUAAUAAAAACAUUUAUAAUUUUUCUUAUAUGUUAUAUUUUGAAUUUUUCAAAACGUCUAUAAAUUAUUAGAAAUUUGAAGAUCCCCACUCUGAAAAUUUUGUGAUCAAUAGAUUUUUUUUGUCAUAAUAAGUUACAAAUGAUCAUAAAAUUGUAUUAAUAUGAACUUUUAUUUAAUAUUAUAAGAAGAUACACAUUAUUUUAAAACCAUAUGAGUAAAAAAUAUCAUUUAAUAAUAAAACAUAUAUAUUUAUAUAUAUAUAUAGAUUAUACUAUAUACCAUAAGAUUACAUAAAUAUUUUAAUAUUAAAACUUUCAAUGAAUUUUCAAAAACAUUUAUAAAUUAUAAACUUAUUAAAGAUUUCACAUUGAAAAUUUUGUUAUCGAUGAUUUAAAUAUUCAGUUAUAAAAUGAUAUGAAUGAUCAUAGAACUGUAUGAUUAUAAAUUCUCAUUUAAUAAAUGACUAUAUAAAAUAUACUAUUCUUAGAAAAAUAGGUUGGUCCAUCUUGACUUACAUUAUAUUUUUUAUUAAACUAACUAUCGAAUUGAUAAAUAAUCUACCAAAAUUUUUUUUGCACUUUCCUUAAUUAGAAUCUACGAAAUUACCUAAUAUGAUUAACGUAUAUAUGAAAAUUAAUUAUUAUGAAUAAUAAAUAUUUGAUAACAAUUUUGGUAUCUUAGUUCUUUUUUUUUUAAUUUUAUAUUAUUGAACGAUAUUAAAAAAUCACAUUAAAUAUAUAAUAAAAACAUUUAUAUUUUUUCUUAUAUGUUAUAUUUGAAUUUUUCAAAACGUCUAUAUAUUAUUAGAAAUUUGAAUAUUCCCACUCUGAAAAUUUUGUGAUCAAUAAAUUAUUUUUUUGUUAUAAUAAGUUACAAAUGAUCAUAAAAUAUAACGCAUAUGAAUUUUUAUUUAAUAAAUAUUCAAACUAAAUAAUAUAUAUAUAUAUAUAUAUAUAUAUAUAUAUAUAUAAACACUAAUGAUUUAAAGCAACAAGAUUGGCUGAUCAAUUUAGUCGUCCAGUUGAAAUCUUUCAAAAGUAUGUGAAAGACUAAAAUCAAAGUACUUAUGGAUUUAGAAUAGUAGUUAUAUUUUACUUACCAAAUACCGAAAAAACCGAACCGAACCGAAACCAAUCCGAUAUCCGGAUUGAACACCCGUAAUCCAAAUGAAGCCAAACUAUUGUUUCAUUCUUCAAAAUAUAAUAAAAAUAAUAACUUAAUCCCGCGCAAGGCGCGGGUCUUAUCCUAGUAGCAGUUAUAUUUUUCUAGGUCAACCGACACUUUCUUCUAGCUUUUUUCACCUCUUUCAUUCUUCUCUGAUCAUAGCAGUUAUAUUUUCAUUUACAAAAAUAUCAACAAAGUAAGGUCAAUUUUCUUUCUUUUCCUUAGAAGUAGAUGAGAGAAGAAGAUCAGCAUUUACCUAUACGAAUAAAUUAGGUCCUUUAAUGUAAACUUUUUAUAUUUCUUCAUAUUUUAUAGUUCUAUUUGAGCCAAUCUAUCUGGUUUUAUCAGCCGUGCCAGAAGCAGAUACAAAAGCUGAUGAUGGCACAUGGCAGCAAAACUAUCAAUUUUAUUUUGACCUAAAGACAAAAUUAUAUAAUAAAUACAGAUGAUUAGGUGAUACUAUGUUGUCUGUUAAUGCUCAUCGUGUAUCUUCUUUAAACCCAAUUUGCUUUUUAAUUAUCUCAAAAUGUCUUUGAAUAUUCAAGUGUCUCUCUCUCUUGAUUUUGUGUUUGUUUGUAUCUGAUAGUAGUUGCAACAUAAGUUUUCUGACUUUUAUAUCUCUUACUUCCCUAAAAAAAAUAGUAGUAUUUUUAAAGAACAAACAUCAAGUCUUGAUUUAUAUUUAUUUAUAUUAUAGCGAAUAAGUCAUUAAUUCCUCUGUAAUUCGCAUUUCGUAUUAAUUCUUUGCACAUAGGAAGCAAAGGUAAAUGGCAUUGGAGAAAAACAAAAAUGUGGAUAAUGUGAAUUUGAAGCAGAGGAAUAUUGUCUUGGUUGGAAUGUUGUUGUUGUUCAUUUUUGUUCAACUUCUCGUGAGCUCUUCUUCUCUUACUUGUUAAAUUUUAAUCAUUUAUAGUUACUCUUUAGUCUUUACUAAGUAUUUUUUUGUAUGGUUCUGAUUUAUGGAACUUGGAUGAUAUGAUUCAGGUCGUGCCUUGAAAAACAAGUCAUCAUUGGAUCGGUACUUAGAACUUUACAGUGAAUUCUACUCAACAAAGAAGGUAGCUUCACGUCUUUUUAUGGGUUUAUUUCGAGUAAAGACACGAUUCUUACCAUUGGGUAACAGAGAAUAUUUGGGGUUUGAGAACAGAUUGAGCUCAAAGGAGAAGUUUUGAAGGGAAACUCAGUACAAGCGGUUUGUUAAAGAGGCAAAGAGAUACAACGCUAUGUCCAUUGUUGUUGGAGUUAAACAUCAAAGAAAGUUAAGGUGAGAACUAAACACAGGGAGAAAAGUUUACUUAUAAAAAUUGAUAUUCUCUUACUAAUUUUUUAUAUGUUUUAUUAAGUCUUAAAGUAGCUAAAGGCUGCGCAAAAGAGCUUCCGCCAACAACUGAUGUUUUGGCCAUCUACAGAGGAAAUAUAUUCUUUAGACGUUCCAACUAUUACCAACCACCUCUUGGUUCGUUGGUUCUCUUACAUCAUUUAAGAAAAAAACUAUGUCUAUAUACCAUUCUUUAAACUGGUUGACCAGAAAUGAUUUUUGUUCUUCUUGCAGCUCAAAAUACAAGUCCAAGACCAAGUUCUGAGCUUUAUAAUGGGACUUUCAGACAAAGACAUCGAACUCAAAACCGAAGAAUCGACAGUUAAAAGCCGAGUUCUCGAGAUAACAAGCCAAGAGAGGAGGAGAGUUUCGGGUAGAUCGCUUUCUCUUCCACAUGUAGAGGUAAUGGACCAGAAACCAGGUUGGCCGCUGCUAAGAACAACCACUUUGGCUACUCCUGUGGUUCAACAUCAGACUCGAAAAGUCUCAGUUGUCAACUGGGUCAUGAGCUUGCCUGAACGGUUUCCAAAUCUGACUUCUCAACAAAGCUUUUGCGAUUCACAACUUAAAGACAUACUAAAGGAAAUAAACAAAUGGUUUAGCUAUGAUGUUCUUAAGACAGCAACAUCUGAUUUCUCUUCAGGUACUAUCUUAUAAAUCUGUUUUUUUCUAUUCUCUAUGUCACUUUAUGUUCAUCUGAUUCUUGUUUUUUUCUUUUAUUACAGAGAAUCUAAUCGGAAAAGGAGGAUGUAACGAAGUCUAUAAAGGGGUUCUUGAAGAUGGGAAAGAAGUUGCGGUGAAGAUCUUGAAAUCAUCUGGUAAAGAAGCAGUGAAUGAUUUUAUUCAAGAAGUGAGAAUAAUCUCUUCUUUGAGUCACCAAAACAUCUCUCCUCUGAUCGGUAUCUGCGUUCACUACAACGACCUAAUCUCGGUUUACAAUCUCUCAUCCAGAGGAAGUUUAGAAGAAGCCCUUCAGGGUUAGCACAAUACUAGUCUACUCUUUAAACCAUCUUUGACACAACAUAUAUUAAGUAUGGUUAUAUAAUUCUGCAGGUAAGCAUGUAUUGGAAUGGGAAGAGAGAUUCCAGAUAGCAAUUGGGUUAGGGAAAGCUCUUGAUUAUCUUCAUAACCAAUGUUCUAAUCCUGUGAUCCACAGAGAUGUUAAAUCUUCCAAUGUUCUCCUCUCGGAUGAGUUUGAACCUCAGGUAUUGAGAACUAGUGACUUAGAACUCGUAAAAUAUAUUAACAAACUCAUAACCAUUUGAGUCAUUUCUUGUGAGAAAAGCUUUCGGAUUUCGGGCUUUCGAUGUGGGGUUCAAACUCUAGUGGAUACACAAUACAAAGGGACGUGGUGGGGACGUUUGGAUACCUAGCUCCUGAGUACUUCAUGUACGGAAAAGUCAGCGAUAAAGUCGAUGUUUAUGCCUUUGGUGUAGUUUUGCUUGAACUCAUAUCAGGAAGAAUUACUAUUUCGUUUGAUAGCCCAAGAGGACAAGAGAGUUGGUCAUGUGGGUAAGUGUUUGUUUUUUGGUUACUUGUGAUGCAAGAAACCAACGUUGAAACCUAAAAAAGAAAUUACUUGGGUUGCAGGCAAUACCGAUGAUUGAAAAAGGCGGCAAGUUCAUGAAGAGGGGAAGCCCUGUUGGUCCUACAGAAGCUGGUGUCUAUGCGUAUACCAAGGUUAGGCAUCGUUUCUACUGUUCUACCAUCUUCGUCUUCUUUGAGUUCUCUGUCUUAGAUGGUUCUCUUUGCUUGCAGAGAUUGGCUCAAUACAGGCAGAAAGCUGGACGAGAGCAGUGAAGUCAUCUGUUCCUGAAGUUAAAUGAAGAAAUAGGUUGUUAAUAUACGUAGCUUAUUUCCCUCAAGAUUUGGACCUUAGAGCGGUUUAUAAAGUGUUGUAAACAAAACACGAAGAAAACAAGAACACAGAAGAAAAAAACAUCAUUGAAGCAAAUAUCCGUUUUACUAUUUGUAAUUUUGUAUAUUGACUAUGUAAAUGAAUAAUAUACAAUAUUUUAAACUCAGAUUUAUGCAGCUUUAAAAUCAGAUAUUAUUUUUCUGUUUAGGAAUUUAAUCUAUUAAAAGCGGUUUUCCUAAUCAUAAAAGAUAUAUACCGUACUGCAAGGUUUUUGGACCCCACUCUCAUAUGUCAAUCUUGAUAACAAGUCAAUCUUUCUUGUGCUUUUUUCUGGUGUAUUUACUAUUUAGAUUUAAAUCACUUCCACAAUCAACGCAAAGUAUAUAGGAGUUCAUAUAUAUGUGCGUAUCCACCGUUACAUGUAAGAGUAUCUCCAGCUUAUUAGUAAGAAUGGUUUAGAAGAAGAUGAGAAGAGUUGAUGUUUUAGUUAAACCAGGAGCUUCUUUUAUUCUAGGCUACAUGUCUAGGUUCUUGUUAAGAGGUUCCGUUCUUGAUCUUCUCAUCUGGUAUGUCAUCCAAGCGCUUCAUCUCAGUGUCUGAAACCUCAGAAUCAGAGUUGGUAAAAUGAGCUGAGGUUGAAGACACUGGUGUGUUUCCAUAGAACUUCAAAUCAUCCUCUCUCAUUCUCUCAGCAUACUUCUCAAAAUUGAAACUCGAAUCACUGUUUUCCCCACCAAAGGCAACCUCAAGUUGCUCCAUAUCGAAAAUAUCCUCAAGAAUCUUCUUGCUCACGUUAUCAUCCGAGUAUACAAACUUCACCUUGUUGCAAGUCUUUGGCUCUAGAAACGGUUUCACCAUCUUCCAGGUUUAUACAAUGACACAUUAUGUCAACAAAGUUCCAUAUACAUUUGCAUGAGAGAUUCUUGAAAACAUACCUUCCAAAACGGUUCAAAAAUCUUAGGUGGGUUGUAUAGUAUGGCCAAGCCUAAGCGUUCAGGGUAAUGUUCUUGUAACACAUGAGCGGUUUCUCGAGACACUUUGAUGGAUAAAUGCGACAUGUUGAAACCGUGAAAAUCAAUUAGCCAAACCAUUUGUUCUUGGUUAUCCGGUAGAUUCAAGAUUGCAUUCUCCAUGCAGUAUACCAAGAAUCUAAUCUGCCCUUUAGGAGAUUUUGUAUUCUGUAAUAAAAUCAAAACAUAAACAAUAAAUCAAAGAAAAAUUGCAUAGAGAAUCAGAGGUCUGAAAUGGUGGAUAAGAGGCCAACCUGGCAACUUGGUCUCAUAACCAAAACUGGUCUUCCAUAUUUGUCGGUAUAAUUAGAUCGGUAUAUCUUACCGGUCUCAGCUUCUCGUGCAAUCUCCUCCUAUAACAACCAUUUUCGUGUUACAAAAAAAACAACCAUUUUAUGGUUUUAAAGUAUGUUUACAUAUUCAAGAAUACAUACAUACAUACAUACAUACAUACAUACAUACCCAUCGGAUCUCCCUGGGUUUGUACUGAGUCCUCCAUUUCAAGGUUUCUUUAAGCAUUUUAGUUGCUUUCUUGACAUGGCCGUUACGCGCAGCUAGAUAACGGGUAAUGGCAGCAUCUGAACAAUACUCAGAUGACUUCCCAAUCAGUGGCCCUAGUAAUGUCCUCACUUCAUUUAUCUAUAAUUAUAUCAACAGACAAUAUAUACUAGUUGAAUCACACAUCAAAUUAUAAUCAUCACAAAGCAGCUAAUGAUUCCUCUUAUCAUCAUCAUUAUCAUAAUCAUCGUCAUUAUACCUUGUUUAGAUAGUCCUCUGGUGGCGAUGUAUUCUCAAACCCACUGGAAGAUGAACCUUUGGUACCAAGACUCAUCUUACUGAAAAUUGAGGAUCAAAGGAGCAACCAAAACUGAUUAGAGACAAAUAAAAAAGGAACAAAAUACAGAGAUUCAUACUCAAAUCUAAAUUUGAGGGGAGAUACAACAGAAGAACCAAUGCAUAUAAUAGACACAAAUCUAACUUUGAUAAAUUAGAAACACAAGAACAGGUUCUGAUUAAACACAAGACAGAAAUACAUCCAUAUAACAGUUUUAAGAAUCAAGACAACUAACUAACAAUAUGCCCUUUGAUCCGACUCCUGAGUUACUACAAUCAAGAUAAAUUCAGAAAUCAAUAAGUUAAAGAACAUGAACUCACCUUAGAAAAAAAAUGAACUAAAGCGACUGCGAUGAGAUCGAGUUGAUAAGUCAAACUCAAACAUAGAAAUUUAAGAGCAUAAUAUUGAGACCGAGAAGUGGUUAACUUACGGUCUAAAAGUGUCAAAGACUUGAUUGUACGAAAAGUAGUUCAAGAAGAAGGGUUUUUGUCUGGCGGCUACGUUCGGACAGUGUGAUAGAGAAGCGUUUAGAGACACGUGACGCGCGGUUGAGGGAAGACAUAUACACCUUUUUGUUUAUUUUUUGUGUGAUUCAAAGCAGAUUCUGUUUUGUGUUUGAUGUAACGUGGACCUUAGUGAAUCGUACCGGGAAAUAAACCAGGUUUGACUUCUUGAUUUGAACUUUGGCUAGAUUGUGAAUAUGACGGUCUAACCGGCUUAGUCGUUUUCAGCCCCCUACGACAUUAUGAUAGGUAUCACCCUUGUAAGUAAGCUGACGUGGAGACUCACUGGAAGGAAGAUCAAGGAGAGCUUUGGAAUGAUACAGAAGGUUUGCAGUUACAAGCUUGAAGAAUAAGGAAAAAUAAGUCUGUGUAUAAAUAACUGUUGUGCAUUGCUUAGAACGGUAUCGAGGAUUAUAAUUGUGAAAUCCUUGGCGAUGUGCUAGGAACUCAGGUGAUAGAGUAGCUGAGGAACUCAGGUGAUAGAGUUCCUUCAUUAUUGUAAUUCUUGAGCUUAUCUUCAAUAUACAGCUUUUAUCCAGUAGAUCGGAUCUUUGAUCCUAUCACAUUACCAACAAUAUUUUCUGAUAAGUCAUAUGCCACCAACUCCAUUAAACCGAAAAAGGGAAAAAUUAUUGGAUUAGUUAAGCUUUUUUCUUUGAAAAGAAGUUAAGCAUUUUUUAUCAUCUAAUAAAUAGCUUUGAAUGAAAAAAGUAUUUUAAAAUUACUUAUUCUAUCUAUAGAAAAAUUUAUUGAUUUUUAAGUACUGUAAAAAAAUUUCAAUAUAUUUGUAUUUCAAGUUUAUAUAUAUCUAAUUACGAGCAAAAUCUUAUCGUUCACAAAACAAAACCGUAACAAAUAUAUAAAAUUAUUUGCAACACGUGACAUGGAAAAUGGUUUUAUGUAUAAGUAUAACUAUUACUUGCUACUCGGCUCAUACUUUUUAUUUGAUCCGUGAUUGGUUCGUAAAAUUGAUCUGUGAUUGGUUCGUAAAAUCGAGUACUCAUUUUAGCCAAGUCGAUUAUCAUGUUGUUUGUUUCAAUUAUUUAGAAGUACAAAACAAGUAUCAAAUAUUAAAAUAAAAUAACUAUUUGACGUUGUUGGCUUAUUACUCGUAGUUUGUUAUCCGUUUUUACUUUUGAAAAUAAAAUUUCUAAAUUAUAAUAAAAUAACUCAUUUAUAUGAUAAAUGUAUUAAAAUAUGAUAUACUACGAGAAAUAUUUUAAGGUUUUCUAUUUCAUAUAUGUGACGUGGAUGAAGACUUUUGUGAUUUGUUUUUAAUGUUGUUUUGUAUCAACUUAAUACAUAUUAGAAGUAAAAAUACUAUUUAUUAAAAAGAAAAAUUAUUUUUUUGCAUGUAAUUCUAACUAAUUAAGAUUUUUAUAUAAUUACAAAGUAUAAGUAGAAAAAAAAAUUAUCAAAUAAUUUACAAAUAACUUUCAAGUAAUCUGUAAGCACUUUAAUCUCUAAAUUCACUCCCUCUUUUGGGCUCCCGUUUUCUCUCUUCUUGUUAGGAUACUCUAUCUAAGGGAAGUAGAGCUAUUGCCUAGGUUUUUUCCUCUUUUUGUUUAAAAAAACACGAAAUUUCCUUAUUUUGGGUGAGAAUCUACCAAAUCUUUUGGUUUUUACUGGUUUUAUCUAGGGUUUAUAGGAGCCGCCGCUUUGGUUUUUAAAAAAAAAGAAGAACAAGUCUGCGGCAAAACACAGAAUUUUGAGUAAGGAUGGGAAACAUUGAUCGUGCUUUUGAAUCAAUGUCACUGGAAGAAGAUGAAGUCCCUUUCGAUCUGCCUGAUCUACCACAGUUCAGUGCGAUAGAAAGAAAUAAGAUGAGUAUCUUGGGACGUACUCUAAACCCUGAGAAUCAAAACAUCGCUGAUCUGAUCAGGGACAUGCCAAGGAAGUGGCAGGUGUAUGGGAGAGUACAUGGGAUUGCUCUAUCGAAAACUACUUUUCAGUUUGUAUUCAAAUAUGAACACGACUUGGAGGAGGUGCUAAACAAGAGAGUCUGGACGUUCAACGACUGGAGUAUCGUCAUUGAUCGAUGGACUGAGACGCCAGAUGAGGAUUACCUAAAGUACCUUUUGGUUUGGGUUAGGAUUCGCAAUAUCCCGGUGAAUCACUAUACUGCAGAGGCCAUUACUGCGCUGGGAGAUAUCAUUGGGAGAGUAGAUGUGGUAGCUUUUGAUCCAGAUAAACCGCAGACUAAUGACUAUGUUCGUGUGAGGGUAUUUUUUGAUGUCUCAAGACCAGUGAGACGCUCCAAAGUGGUCAAUCUACCUAAAGGAGGCGGAUCAGUUACAAUCCUCUAUGACUUCGAGAGGAUUCAAAAGCGCUGCUACCAUUGCCAGCGUCUGACCCACGAAAAGGAUAAGUGCCCUAUACUUAUUCAGGAACGUCAAACGAAAGCGAAAGAAUGGAGGAAAAAAGUAACUGAGGAAAACCAGAGGAAAGAAGAAGGGAAACAGACGUUUAUGGUCACUAUUGAGAAAGACGAUCCUCUAUAUGGGGUCCUUAAUGAAGACCAAGUAGGGGUGGACAAAGCGACAGGACGGAGGAAGAUCAACCCCGAAGUCUUACAACAGAUGAGGGAGUAUAUUUUGGCGGCUGAAGGUGGUGAGAAACGCAUCAGACAGGAACGGGUCCGGAAAUCCGUCUCUGAUCUAGACAAUGAUCCUAUAGGUCAGAAGAAAUUCCUGCGCCUGGAAGCUCCACCGGUAAUAACUAAUGAUGUGGAUAAAGGGAAAGGCUUUGUUUUCAGCUACUCGAAACAAACAGAACCACACAAUAGUAAAAACAAUGACUCACGAGGCUCAAGCUCACGGGUGGAAGGAGACAACAUUGCUUUGGAUUGUGGUUCUGAUGAUGGGGGAGGAAAGGGAGGUCCAAAAGCUGGAGAAAAUGGAAAUCACUUUUUCUUUGACUGUUCAACGGGUUUUAGCAGCGGUUUCUCUGCUGCUAGCUCUUCCGGGACAACAAAGAUAAAAGUAUCUGGAAGACACAGACCUCCCAAAAAAUUCCGCAGACAAAAAGCUCAAACAAGUAAUGAGGUGGCUGCAAGAGGAGAGGACAGUCUACACGGGGCAUCGUUGGAUUCAAAGAGGAAGGCUGCAGAGGUGGCAGGGAAUUUUUCUAAAAUCGCAAGACGUAACAAAACAGAGGUGGUCCCAAGUGGGGGACUGCCAAACCAGUAAUGAGUAUACUGAGUUGGAAUUGUCGAGGCUUGGGACGGUCUCAAGACUUGAUGAUUCCCCAUCUCAAGGAGAUACGUAAAAAAUAUCUUCCUGAGAUAAUGUUUUUGAUGGAGACAAAGCAACAGAAGGAUAAGGUGUUGGAUUUACAAGUUUGGUUGGGUUACGAUAGAGUUUUUACAGUGGAACCGGAAGGUUUGAGUGGUGGUUUAGCACUGAUGUGGUCAAAUAAGGUGAAUAUGUGUAUUCAUUAUGCAGAUAAGAACCUUAUAGAUGUGGAAGUUACUUUUGGAGGGGUGAGGUUCUUUAUGUCCUUUGUGUACGGGGUGCCGGGUCAUAGUGGAAAAGAGAUUGUCUGGGAAAGACUUAUGAGAUAUGGGGUGUCUAGGAAUGCUGGUUGGAGUUGGGUUGGUGAUUUCAAUGAGAUACUACACAAUGGCGAAAAGAUAGGGGGGCCGAGCAGGAGUGAUGGAUCUUUUGACAGCUUUAGAGACUGUGUUAGUGUGUGUGGGAUGACGGAGCUCAGUGGAUGGGGUGAUAGCUUUACCUGGUCAGGAGUGCGGUGCAAGAAAUACAUUCAAAGCAAGCUUGAUAGAUGUUUUGGGAACACGGAGUGGAAACGUAAUUUCCCCCUUGCGACCCAAGUUUUUUUGGAAAGACUGGGGUCUGAUCAUAAACCGGUCUUGGUUCGCCUGUUUGGACACCAGUCAGGGCCCAGAGGGUCUUUCAAGUUUGAUAAGAGGAUGGUUGGGAAGCAGAAAGUACGUGAAUGCAUUAUGGAGGCAUGGAAAAGGCAGAAUGGGAAUGACCAAAGAUCCUUGUCUGAACGGUUUGGUUGUGUGCGUAGGAGCUUGGGUAGAUGGAAAAGGGAAUGCAGUAACAACUCGAAGGAAAGACUGUGUGGACUACGAUAUGAUCUAGAGGCUGAGUACUCAUCUGGAGUUCCUGAUUGGGGGAAAAUAAAAUUUCUCAAGUUGGAAAUCUCUCAGGCCUUUAGAGAUGAAGAAGAGUUUUGGCGCCAAAAGAGUAGAGAUAAAUGGCUAGUGGCUGGAGACAACAACACCAGUUUUUUUCAUGCUUCAGUCAAAGAUACGAGACUGAGGAACCAAAUCUCAAAACUAAUUGAUGAUUCAGGACAAGAAGCCACAAACACUGAGGCGAUGGGUCAAGUUGCGGUGGAGUAUUUUACCUCUCUGUUCUCCUCAGGUGCGGGGGGAGAUCCUUCAGACAUUUUUGAUGGCUUUCCAGCAAGGGUAACUGCAGAGAUGAACCGGACAUUGUUAAGAGAGGUCUCUGACGCGGAGAUACGGGACGCCGUUUUUGGUAUUAAAUCUUCAAGUGCACCUGGAUGGGAUGGUCUUAAUGGUUUGUUCUUCCAGAAGUAUUGGGACAUCAUUGGCCUAGAUAUCGGCAAAGAGAUAAAGACUUUUUUCUCAGAUGGUUCUUUCCCGCGCGAUUGGAAUGUCACACAACUAUGUCUGAUCCCUAAGGUGAUAAACCCUGAAAGAAUGGUAGAUUUAAGGCCGAUUAGCCUUUGUACAAUCAUGUACAAAAUCAUUUCGAGGAUCUUAGUCUCAAGACUGAAGCCUAUGCUGGAAACGGUGGUGUCGCCCACACAAUCCGCUUUUGUCCCUGAACGACUGAUAUCUGAUAAUAUUAUCAUAGCGCAUGAAGUGGUCCAUGGAUUGCGUACUCAUCAAGCUAUCUCAUCAGAGUUCAUAGCGAUCAAAACGGAUAUGUCAAAAGCUUACGACCGUAUAGAGUGGAGGUACCUGGAAAACCUUUUGACUGCCUUGGGUUUCGAUAAGAAGUUUGUUGACUGGAUAAUGUUCUGCGUUACUUCUGUCACUUACUCGGUGCUGAUUAACGGUGAGGAGAAAGGAAACAUAAAUCCAAAGAGAGGUUUGAGACAGGGAGACCCUCUGUCACCCUUUCUGUUUGACUUGUGUACUGAAGGUCUAUCCUAUCUACUGAACAAAGCAGAGAGCAUGGGUGAGAUUGAAGGGAUAAAAUUCUCUGCGGAAGGGCCGGUGAUACAUCAUCUGUUUUUUGCUGAUGACUCGUUUCUAAUGGUGAAAGCCUCAGACGAGCAAUGUACAAAGCUUCGGAGCAUUCUGAAGGUGUAUGAGGAGAAUUCAGGUCAGAUGAUCAGCCUUACAAAAUCAUCUAUAACUUUUGGUGCGAAGAUUGCGCCAUCACGGAAGGUCAAAAUAAAAGAAAUUCUUGGUAUUGAGGCUGAAGGUGGGACAGGGAAGUAUCUGGGUCUACCGGAAUGUUUCAGUGGAUCCAAAGUGGAGAUGCUGCAGUACAUCCAGGAGAAGAUGAAGUCACGGUUUCAUGGGUGGUAUGGUCGGUUUCUCUCAGCUGGGGGGAAAGAUAUCCUGUUAAAAACUGUGGCUAUGGCAAUGCCAGUGUUCGCAAUGUCGGUUUUCAAACUGCCAAAAACUACAUGUAAGAAUCUCACGAGUGCGAUGUCGAAGUUCUGGUGGGAUGUGCAAGAAGGCAAAUCUAAGAUUCAUUGGAUCAGCUGGGAAAAAUUAUGUCUGGGAAAGAACCAAGGUGGAAUGGGUUUUAGGGAUAUAGAGAAGUUUAAUCAAGCCUUACUUGCAAAGCAAGGAUGGCGUUUAUUGAUGGACUCUGAAUCUCUCUGCGCACGGUUCCUUCGCAGUAGAUAUUACCCAAAUGGAAAGUUCAUGGAGGCAUCAUUGGGAGCGCGGCCGUCGUAUGCAUGGAGGAGCAUUUUGUUUGGCCGACAGUUGUUGGAGAAAGGUCUACGAAGAACAAUUGGCUCUGGUGAGGAUACAUCUGUUUGGUGGGAUAAGUGGCUUUUCAGUGAGUCUCCUAUGGCCCCCCUACGUAAACCAAUCUUCUUUGAGGUGGAUUUAAGAGUUUCUGAGCUUAUUAAUCCACAAACAAAGUCUUGGGAUAGGGGAAAACUGGAGGACAAUUUCUUUCCACCGGACGUUGAAAGGAUUUUAAAACAGAGACCGGUAUGGGGAGAGAAAGAUAGUUAUGAGUGGGUACAUACUCAUUGGGGUGGCUACACUGUGAAAUCGGGAUACUGGUUAGCUUCAUGUCUAGACAGUUCGGAGACACGAAGGGAAUGUUUAGCUCAACCAUCGAUUCAUGGUCUUUUGGAAAAAGUCUGGAAAGUGAAAACUGUUCCAAAGAUCAGGGUUUUUAUGUGGAAAGCCCUUUCGAAUGCUCUUUCGGUGAAUGAUGGCUUGCUGGCUCGAGGUUUAAAGAUAGAUCCACGGUGUCAGAGAUGUGGGAUGGAGGGAGAGUCUAUUAAUCAUGUGCUGUUCACUUGUCCGGCUGCUCGUUUAGUGUGGGCUCAGUCAAACUUUCCUUUCCCGCGACGAGGUUUCGAGAACAUGACUCUGUUUGAAAAUUUCAACUAUUUACUUUUCCUGCCAAGAUAUCUCCAAGUUCCAGAUGAGAUUGGUCGCAUGUUCCCGUGGAUUUUGUGGACUAUUUGGAAAAACAGGAAUCUAUUCUUAUUUGAGGGGAAGGAGUUUACGGCAGAGGAUACGAUGGCAAAGGUCUUUGAGGAUUCUGGGCACUGGUUUGCAGCUCAGAGAUGUCUAGAGGAAGAAGAUGAAGCUGAAAACAGAGCGUCUCGUGCUAGAGAUAAGUGGGAGGGGCCAAGCUCAGGUUUCCUAAAAUGUAACGUGGGUCUGCAGUGGUCAAAAAGGGAAAAGGCUCUUGGAGCAGCGUGGGUCUUAAGAAACGAAGGAGGAGAAACUCUCUUACAUAGUAGAAGGGCUUUUGCAAAAGUUGAUUCUUUAGUGGAGGGAAACUUUUUAGCUCUGGCAUGGACGAUUGAAUCAAUGCAAAGCCAUCAUGUGACAAGGGUUAUUUUUGAAGUGGAUUUUGCAGAGUUGGCUGGUGCGGUAACAAAGCCAAAAGCUUGGCCAGCUUUCAGAUAUCAAGGAACUGAGCUGAAGAAAGUUCUGGUUAAUUUUCAGGAGUGGGCUAUUGUGGUUGUUUCGUCGAGAGCUAAUAGAUGUGCUCAAGCGAUCGCAAAGAGUGUGACAAGGGAGAAGAGGCUCCAAUCCUAUGUGGCGAUGGGUAUACCCCUAUGGUUGAAGGAACUUUUUGACUCUGAUUUGCAACGGAUGGGUUGAUGUUCUGAAGGUCUGAUAGUCUUAACGGUUUUUGAGGGUGGAGCUUCAUGCUUGGUGCCCGCGGUUUCUUGUUCUUAAGUGCGAUGAUAUUCAUUAUUUUGGUUGUCAUUUUCUGGUGUCAAACAUUUUGUUUCUUUCUAAUAAUAAAGCUACGCAAGAGUUAAAAAAAAAAAUCUGUAAGCACUUCACAAAUAACAAGCGGUAAAACAGGGUUAAGUAAAUUACAAACACAUAUAAGUUUGUUAGCAAGUACUUAAAAUUGCAAGUACUCGUUUUUUACAAACCAAGUACAAUUUAUCUGAACAAGCUAAGCCAAUUACCAAAUAUAGCAAAAAUGGAAAGUAUUUGGCUUGUGCUCAUCUCUAGCUAAACCGCACAUCAACGAAGAAUGAAAUAAGUUGUCGAUAACUUUUGCAACCAUAAAAAAAAAAUACAAUUUUCAACCUUAGGCCUUGAAUGUAUACUGCAUAAAAUAUAUUAUAAAGCUUCACGUAUCUAUUCGGUUUUUGGUUCGGUUCAGCUCAGUUUUUGGUUUGAGGAUUUCUGGUUCUAAAAAUAUAGGAUCAAUUAGCAUAACUGGUAGGAUCCAAAUUCAAACCGAACCUUGUUUUUCGGUUCGCUUUGGUUCGGAUAAAUGUGCCCAUGUCUAGCUAUAGUUUUGCUAUUUAAAAAUACAAUAUUUUAGAUGAGAAAAUAUGUGAAUAUGAUUUGUAAAGUUUUUCAUAUAUAUAAUUGUUUUUUUAAAUUAAAUAAAAUCUUAGUAAUAGCAUAUUAAAUUUUAUAUUGAGAUAUAUAAAAUAAUUUUUUUAAAUAAAACUAUAUUAGUAUCACUAUUUUUUUUUGUUUAUAUGUAUCUCGCAGUUACACUAUUUAUUAUACGUGCUAUUAUUCAUACUUUUUUUGAACCGGUUAUUUUAGACGAACCGAAGUUAUUUUGCAGCAUGUUUUCUCUUAUACAAACCGCAAUUAAACCGUACAACAGUAUCCAAUCCACUUGUCCCGCACUGCUCAAACCACUGUUACCACUCGUUGUUUUAACAUCAUUCUGACAAAUUUCAUUUAUGUUAUAAAAGUUAUAUCAAUAAUUGUUUACCGGAAAAACAUAAUAGGUAUUGGACUAUAUAUCUUGCGAAAUUUUACGGAGACAAGUCACCUUAUUAUUUUUUAUUUUUUUUGCCAUCUGAUAUUAUUAUUCAUGUAAAAUACAGAAACCCAAACCCAACCCAAAAAAAAACCCAAAGAUAAGGUUCCAAACACAACUCCCAAAACAAAAUUAAACCUAAAAGCCCACAAACUGGCCCAAUUUAUACUGGCCCAAACCAACACGUGACACUGUUUCGUUUCUCCCCCCAAAGACGAGACGUGUCGAAACCUCAACAGCGAGGCAUGACACACGUCACGAAAUCCUUCACCACCACCGCCAAAGAGAACACACCGGAAACUGGACCUUGCCGGGAACUGAAUGGCACUUCACCGGACCUCGCCGGGAGCAAGCGCUUACCCAAACUCACUUCAUCACCUUUGCUUCUUUUCACUGGAGAGCGUCAAAACGAGAAGUCGAGACCUCAUCCAGAAACGAAGCCAUCACCCAAACGAUUAGAAAUCCCUCACUCACCAUCCAUGCACCAUCACCACUUAAUUUCAGAUCGUCGGAGAGCAUCAAUCGAGCAAAUCGAGAGCUCAUCCGUCACAUCAAGCACAUAAUCAACCAAAUCACCACUCGAGAAACCAUAGAAACCAAACCAAAACCGCCAUCGAAACGAGAGGACCGUACGAUGCGGGAGAAGAAGCUGGCGAGAAAGAUGUAAAACGAAUCAUCUUCUCCCAGUAGCAAAGUCGGCGAAGCCUGCUUAAAGAACAACGCUUCCCAGAGGCAAGACCCAAAGAAAAAGAAUCGAAGAACCGAUAGAGCACCGGAGAAAGCUUCAUCUCAUCUCAGAGAGGAGAGAGAGAAGUCCCGGUCUCCGUCGUGAUCACGAAGGUUAUGGAGACGAGUCACCUAAAAUCCACAUGCAGAUUCCUCGUUCCCACAAUAUGAAGUGAAUUUUUCAUUUCAUUCACCCCAGACAUAUCUCCACAUGCAUUUGUUUUGUUUUGACCCAUUUGUCUACUAUAAAAUUCUUGUUUUCUGAACUAAUAUUAGUUAAAAUAUAGGUAAGAAAAUAGUGAAAUCCCAAAAUAAUAAGAUCUCUUCGGAGCUUCAGAGGCCACCUGACGUAUAAGUGGAUCCACGGUAAGAGAGAUAGACAAACAGUAUAAAAUGGACCUUAUCAACUGUCGGUUGACUUCUGUGACUUCAAUAGACGAAACGGCUUCAUAAAUUAUUUAUAGGUUUUUAUAAAUUUUAAUGUAUAUUUUAUCUCGUGGUAUUUCUUGAGAUUCUAUGAUUAGAAUGGUUAUAUCAUCCAUCAUAUCAUCUGAUUCAUGAAGUAAUGGUAACUCCACUCCCUACACAUCAUUAAUAAAAACAUAUAGUUUAACAAUAAGAAAAAGAAGGCUAUGACAACACACAAGGAGACAGUAGUUUAAAAUUUACAUCUACGGUUUCAUGGUUUUGUGUUUCAGUCUCAGUGGCUUCUACAACAGAAGUGUUAGUGUGGCUCUCGAGAGAGAAUGUGAUUUCGGUGGCAUCAUCAUUCACCGUAUCAUCUUCACUAGAUUCUAAAACAAGUGUGUUACUAGAACUUUCUUGAGCGGAUCUGAUUGGUGUAGCAGCAUUAUUUUCAAAUUAUCUCUGAAAAAAUAGUGUAGAAAGGUUUUUAAUUACACCAAAAUUGAAUACACCUUAUGUGUAAAAAAAUACCUUACGUGCGUGAAUCCAACUACAACCACCUAGCCACUUCAUUGACAGCCUAAUAUUAGUGUAAUUAAAAACCGCAUCCUCUUUUGUAGCAUUGAAAUACACUUUUUAAUUGUUUUAAUGAGAAUUUCCAUCACUCGAUCUUUGUGCUACCCAUGUGUGACAACCACUUCAACAAAGUCAUUCAGAUUACAGUUUGCACAAAAAUCUCGAGGAGGAAAUGACCUGAUUUUUCAAAUCUCAAUUAUUGAAUGUUUUCUUUCCGUUUCAUCACUCAAAUUUUGUGAGCUUGUACAUCUUUUGAUCAAAAAAUUUCUUCUAUCACCCUCUUCAAUCUCUGUAAUUACUAAUGCUCGGACCCAAAUUUUUUCUUUUUCAUUUUCACUAAUUUCACGGGUAUUUCCCUCGUAUUAAUAUUUUUCCUAUUCACUUUCACUAGUAUCACAGAUGUCACCAUUUAAUAGAUUAAUUUUUAAAACAAAAAUUAAAAUAGCAAAAUCAUAUUAAAAUUAAAAGAAAAUAUAAGAGUUUGUUGUUUACAGUGUUGAAAACGAAAGUAUAAAAAGAUUUUGUGUAUUGAAAAAGGAAAAGAUACAUAAUUAAAAAGGUAAAGUGAAAAUUUCUCAGAUCCCUUCAUAAUCAAACAUUGUUGCUUGCCAGACUCAUCAAACCUAAUGUCUAACUGUAAAACCCCGUUCAAGGUCAACCAGUCUCUGAUCAAGAAAGUGUGAAGAAUAUAUAUAUAAUAAAACAAACAAACUCAGUUGAAUUUACCAAUCUCCAUUUUCUUCUUAAUUGCUCUUUGUCCAUGGUAUAUGAACGAAUCCACUAUUCCUGAUACGGUGAAGAUACCUCCUACUAUAGCACAAACAUUUGUUAGGAAGUGCAAGAACUCCACAUGCUGCUCCUCAAAUAUCACCUUAAACAAACAAACCAAUCAAAGUUAGAAUGUCUUUAGGAUUAACACAAGAAACAAAACUCCAAAACAGACCUUAAUCGGCGAAAGAUCAUAGUAGAAGAAAACACCAGGCGGAGAUUGCAUUCGACCUGCUUCCAUUUUCUGGAAAUGUUCUGUCACAGAGAACUUUACCCCCCCAAAAAAAAAGAAACCAAACUUGUUACAUUUUUACCCAAAAAAAUGAAAAAGGCUAAAAAUGUUUAAACAGAGAUUUGGAGAUGUAGCUUCACCUGGUUUGACUGAAUGGUAUGCCCAUGAACAUCAGUGUAAAUGCUUGGUACCACCUACAACACCAGUCCCAUUUCUUUAUCAUUAUACUCAAUAUUUUCUAUAGUAUGCAGAAGCUAAACUCGAUAGAGAUGGGGCUAACCUUGACGAAAUAUUGAUACACGCCAUUUUGUUUCUCCUGAUUCCACUGCACACUGAGAGAACCAAGAUAAUAUUUCAGAUGAUAAGACGAUAAAAGGCCUGUAUAAUGAAUUGGGAGAGAGAGAAGUUUAUACCCAUCUAGAGGGUUCACUACACCGGGGAAAAAGUCUCCAAAGGCCAGCCUGUUAACCUUGUGGCUAAUCUGUGUAGAGAUACAACGGAGUCAAACCAAACAUGAGCUAUAUAUAUAAGAGAAGCUGAAACAAGAAGGGAACUUCUCAUUACAUUGUAGUUCCCUUGCUGGAAAAAUAUAAGAUCACCAAAUUGGAAACCGGAUUGAUGAAAGCUUUGUCCUGGAACGAAAUGAAAAUUCCCAGCGACUUUAUUAACUUCCAAGAAACCGUGAAGGUUACAGCCUUCACCUUCUUCAUCUUUCACCUUUUGCACAUAUCCUUCUCUUUUACACUGAGAUUGAAUAAAUAAAGAAUAUUAUACAACUAGAUGCAAAGACCACAAACUAAGUAACAAGAUCAACACAAUAUUGUUGUUUAUGCGAGUAUACCUGGUCGAUAGAUUCAGGGUCAGAGAGGGCCCAACCUUUCUUUCGAUAAGCUUCACGAACUUCUUCACAUGAAUUACAACAAGUAUCAUCCGUCUAUAAAUUGUAAAGAAAAUGACAACCACAACAGACAUGUAAAGAGGAUCAGAACAUGUUACCACCAAAAUAAAUGUAACAACACUAAAUUUACUCUGUUGAACUAGAGAAAUUUACCGUUUCGGCUCCAAAGCAGGAACCACAAUACGUUUCAUUGUGCUCCAACCUUCCACCAUGUUUCUGUAAAGGUUUCUCAAUCUGGGGAUAAAGACAAUUACAACAAAGAAUCAGAGCUUUAACACUUUUCGCAAUGGAAUCAAAAAUGGCACCUGAGUCUUAGGAAAACAAACCUUAGUAUGACCAAUUCCAUCUUGUUUGGACUCAAUGACAUUGCCAUGAGAGUCUAAUCUUCUUUUAAUAAUAUCAUGUCGCUGAACAAUCACAAUAAAAAAAAUCAGACAAAGCGUCAAGAGUCACAUAGAUUUGAAAAAAAACAAUUCUUGAGCAGCACAUACCACAUCAAGGUGCCGCUCUCCGCUAAUAUCCAUUGUAUCAAUACUAAUGAUCGAGCAUUGAAGCGCAGGGAACGUAACAUCAAACUGCAAAAUGCACAUGGUCAAUUCAUAAAACAAGUAGCAAACUCAAAACUAGUAGCAACGGCACAAAGCUUUUACAUUGAUACGUAGCUUCUCUCCUCUUGACGUAUCAACACGGAGCUGAGUCUCCGUAACAGGAUGCAUAUAAAGCCCUAAAAGCCCACCAAGAAUAUUUUAAAAAAAAACUCAAAACCCACAAAUAAAAAUCAAAACUUUCGAGCUUUGAAGUAUCGUAGAAGGGAAAUGCACUUACGAAGCUCGGAGAAGAAGAGAAUUAGCAUGAGGAGGGAGGAGAAGAGGGUGAUGAGGCCGCCGGAAAGAGUACGGUUGUAGAAAUCUUCAUUGAUUUUGGGGUAAGCGUCCAGAUUCCUCAACCUGUUCAUCACGCCCACCUUCCAGGGGUUUCGAAUUUUACUUGAAUUUUGACGGAUUCAACGGAAGAAGGAGAAGGUGAUUCCAAUUCAACGGGUAAUCAAUCAACGGAAGAUGCGUCAACGAGGAUCUCUCGGAUUUUUCUCUUCCUUAAUUAGGCAAGUGAAUCUCUGCAUACGCUUCCCUUUCACUACGUCGUCGUAUUACCUUUUGGGCUCUUAUUAAAUCAUUAAGGCCCAUUUUCACUUAGAGAUGGCAAAUGGGCUCUCCCGGAUCGCUUCGGCUUUUUUCCUAUCAUCCCCUACACACGCCAAAUGUUAAAGUCACACAUCAAAAAAAAGUCAACUUGUUAUACUUAACAUUAAUGAAGAAGAACCGAGACUGUAACAUGCUGGUCUACCAACAAUCUUAACAAUUUACAUCAAUGUACAAGAAACCGAGACUGUAAUAUGAUCAAGCAAUAAGCAUAACAUUAAUGAACAAGCAACCGAGACUUUAAUAUGGUCAAGCAACGAGAAACAAUCUUAACAAUGAAACUUGCACCAGUUUAGUAAAAAAUUGAGCACAAACAUACCAUUUUCACUUUUCUAUUUGAGCAAGAAAAGCAGCAACUUCAAAAUAUAUGUUGCUCAUGCUCGACACUUGACUUAGCAAGCAUGAAAACUAGCGAGAAAACCACCAAAGACAAAUCACGUGAAUAUGGUAAUCCAAGGUUUUUCUAAACUGCUAACAAGUGUCUUAACGAUUCGAUCACUGCCUUUUGUUCAGUAUGUUAGGAAUGAGCAGGAACACAAAGCAAAAGUACGAUAUCUACCAGUUGAACACCGAAUACAUUAACUUCUAUUACUUCCUGCUAGUAUAGAUAAAUGAAUAAAAGUCGGGGGAAAAAAUGCAGAUAUGAAGUCAUGACGAAAUUCACACAUACCAAUCUAGUUCUAAACCAAGUCUCUGGCAACCACAAUGUAAGCAUCCACUAGAGUCUUGACAAUGCAUCUGAACUUUUGUCCUAAAUAGUCUCAGAAACUUAGUACUUGGUCUAUGAGCAUUCAUCAUAAUAAUUUUCAAUCAUAAAUACUUAGUUCCGAUUUCUUCCAUGGGAUAUGCUUAAGACAGCGUAUAUAACCAAUUUGAACACUGGCAAUGCUUCGUGAAGGCCGAGCAACAAAGGGAAGCCAUUGAUGAUAUCAGCUCCAUCGCAAACCAAGAUGGAGGUGGUGGCUCGGAGAAGAAGAGAAGCUAUUGUGGCGGAUCGAAGAAGAAGAGAAGCUACGGUGGUGGAUCCUCUCCUGAAUUGCCAUUUUCUCAGAGUCUUUCGUAGGUGAGUAAUCCAAGAGUCUUUGGAAGGACAUUUCGCUUAGGUUGAACUAAAUUAACCAAAGAAGCCGGAUUCAUUUCUUUGAUUUAUUGUACACUAAUGCUAAUGAAGCUGAAUUCCAAAGUACUAUUUUUAUCCACCAUAAAAAAGUCACAAUAGGUCCAUUUCAUUAAUAACAUAAUAUAACAUAAUAAUCAAUAAGAAUAUUAUAAUAAAUUAAUUUUAACUAUAAAUUUGAAUCUUAUUUUUAGUUAUAGAAAAAUCUGUUGAGAAAAAUCUAACAAAAUCUUACUAAGCUUUUUAAAUAUUUUUUAAUUAAAUAAUGUUUAAUUAAUUUCGUAAUUAAUGAUAUAAUUUAAAUUAAUAUUAAUUAAAUUUAUUAUAAAACAUAAAAAGUUCUAUGCUACUUUUUACAAAUUUAUAAUUAUAAUCUGUAUUAUAUUAAAGUAGAAGUAUUAUAUAAAAAUAUGAAAAGAUAUAUUAAACUGGUAAAUUAACUUAUUUAAUUUUUUAGAAAAGCUUUCAUAUAUAAAUUAUCAUUUAACAUUAAACGGAUUAAAAUAAGUUAACUACAUAAUAUUUUAUACCAAAAUAAAGUUAUUAACAUAUGUUGAAAUUUUAUUUCUACAACUAUAUAUUUUUCAAAAUAUCAUAUGUUGAAGAAGAUCCUUAAUUUGAUUAUUUCAAAUUAUAUAUUAAUUAUACCAAACUUGAAAAUGUAAUAACAAUUAAUAAAAGAGUAAAAGACAUAAACAAAAUCACUAUAUAUUAAUAAAAUAAUAAAAAAACAUAAAAAUAAGAUUUAAUAGUUAUAUAAUACAUUACACUAAAAUAUAAAUCAUAUAUAUUCAAAAAUUGUAUGAUAAUGUCAAAGUUUAUAAAAUGAAAAAUUCCCGCACGAAUGUGCGGGAUAAAGUCUAGUUUCUUGUUAUAAAAGGAGAUAAGUACAGAAUGUUAACUAAAAUAAAAACGUUAUCGGUUCCAAAAAUAAAUAGCGGAACAAGUAUUGUUACCAUUGAUAAUAAUAAAAGAGACUGUGAUAAAGUUAAAAACGCCAAAAUGUGCAAAACUAUUACUAUAUGGUAAACAUAAAUCAAAUUCAAAAUGUUAGGCGGUGACACUUCUUACUUGUGUGGACAUGGUAAACAUAAAUCAAAUUCAAAAUGUUAGGUGGUGAGACUUUUUACUUGUGUGGACAUACCAUUGUAGAAAAGAAACAUCUUGAUGAUAAACUAAUUUUGUGUCAAAUAUGUAAUGUAGUUUAGAACAAGGUCGAGAUAUAUCUGAUAUUUAUCUGUUAAAUUAAUGGAUAAUAUCUUCUGUUUACUGCAAGCUUAAAACAUACAUUUAAAGAUUUGGAUUUUAGCCGAUAACCAAAUAUCAAAGAAUUAAGGGCUGUUCGUUUGGUUGCGCGCAGUACCGACGGCAAGCAGCAGCGUUAACAUUAUGCGUCAACUCUUGUUCGUUUUCGUUGACGUAGAAAGUUACGUCUGACGCCGCGUCCGAAGCGCUGCGUCCUGCAACUGACGCAGAUAAANNNNNNNNNNNNNNNNNNNNNNNNNNNNNNNNNNNNNNNNNNNNNNNNNNNNNNNNNNNNNNNNNNNNNNNNNNNNNNNNNNNNNNNNNNNNNNNNNNNNGGUCCAAAAAAAAUAUCACUCAUCAAAAAAUCAUGAUUUUUAUUUUAUUAGAAAACAAAUUUGAAAAAAUUAAAAUAAAAAUAAAUAUUUAUUUCUAACAAAAUCUAUAAAAUUAUAGUAAAUGUAUUUGUGAAAUUAAUUAAUUUCAUUUUAUUUAAAUUUUCGUUUAUAAACCAAAACUAUAUUUAAUUUUAAUUUCUAAUUAUGUUUUAUGAUAAUUUAAAUUAAAACUAACUAAUUUUGAAAGUAAAUUAAAAGAUUCUAAGAAGAUUUUAAAAAGAUUUUGUUAGAAUAUUUUAAAUAUAUUCAUUUGUAUUUCAAAUAAAAUAAUAUAGAUAUUAAAAGAUAUAAUAAUGAACUUAUGUAAAAUAUGAUAUUUCUAGGAAUUGUCCAACUAAAAAAAAUCACACAUGAAAAGAAGUCAUGACUUCUGUUUUAAUAUAUAAGAUAGUUACAAAUACUUCAUUAUGAAAAAAAUCAAAAUUAACCCUAUUUCAUCAUUUAUAAAAGUUUAAGAAUUAUUUAUACAAGUUUAUAAACCUAACAUCAAUACAAACCUUACAACAAAAUACUAAACCCUAAGUUCAAAUAUUAGAGUAUUUUUGAAAAGUGAUAUCCAACUUAAUGUAUUUCUAAGUAAUUUUUCAAAACUAAACCAUUUUAAUAUAGUUUAAAUGAAAUCUUUUUCAUAUAAUUGAAAAAAAACGACCCAAAAUGCAAAAAAAAAAAGGCAAAAGUUUUUGAAAAUGAAUAUUUGAUUCAAAACAGAAAAACCGAAAUCUGUAUUGAAUUUGUUACAUUCUUAUGUGUUUGCACUAUUAUUUUUUUCCUGAACAACUAUUGUUGCACUAUUUAUUUUUGUACUUAUAAAAUGCUACAUUGGAGUCUUGGACUAUAAUUGUCUUCGUCAACGACACAAAAACAAAACAAGAACCAAUUGGGAAAUUUACUUCACUAUCCGGCCACCUUACCAAGCCGAAGCUCACUUAGUGAAACGACGUCGUAUAACCUAGCUCCGCGAAUCGUGGUCUUUUUUUUUUUUUUUUAACAACCGCGAUCGUGUUCUUAUCCAGUAAAAAGUGGAAACAACAUAUUCUCUGCCUCGGAUCCACGCAACUUUUAACCCUAGUCAGAUUCAACCUAACCACAGUUAGCCUCACCCCUCCAGGAUUCUCCCACGUGGACAAAUCGACGAUCAGUAAAAUAUUUAUUUUUAAAAUUAUCCCAUCGCUUUAAUUCGUCCCUCCCUAUAUCAGUCCCCUCUUCGUCACCUCUUUAGCUAAAUCACACCAAAACCCUAAUCUCUCCCAAAGCUUUCUCUCUCAAACACAAAAUGGUUAACCCUAAAGUUUACUUCGACAUGACCGUCGGCGACAAAGCCGCCGGCCGCAUCGUGAUGGAGCUUUACGCCGACACAGUCCCCGAGACGGCCGAGAAUUCCGUGCCCUCUGCACCGGCGAGAAAGGAAUCGGCAAAUCCGGGAAGCCGCUCCACUACAAGGGCUCAGCUUUUCACCGCGUGAUCCCCAAGUUCAUGUGCCAGGGAGGAGAUUUCACCGCCGGGAACGGAAC